rnacentral:lncRNA from 1 species
AGGACAGUCCUGUCAAAGGAGGCAAUGUCAAACCUUCACAUCUCGCACAUCUUAACACUUCCAAUCUUCUCAAUUGAUUGAUGGAGGAUGGUAAUGUUUUUAUUCCACUUCCAGAUAUACAAAGGUUCUUCAGCAAUUCUAGAUCCCCCAUGUUCUCUGGCAAUGCUUUGACAUUCAAACAGCCUGAGAUAUCAAUGCGUGUAAGAGAUUUCAAAUUGCAGAUGCUUCGUGGAAUACUAUGCAGUUUUGAGCAGUAUCCGAGAUCAAUUUCUUUUAGACAUUUAGACUCGCCAAUGCUACUAGGAAUCUCAAUCAAGUUUCUACAUCCUAUCAAACAUAAAACCUCAAGAUUUGGGGCACUAGACAAGUCUAGAACUUUAGUUAACUCAAAAGAGUAGCUGAGGUCUAAAAAUUUCAAACUUUCAAGAGCCUGUAAUCAAAACGUCAAUAAAAUUAGCAGAAGCUAAUUAACUUUGCACAAUGUAGCUAAAUUUUAUAAAGCAGCAUAAUAACUCUAACCUUCUCUUGAUUCCAGAGUUGGAUGAGGUUGCUCCGUGGCAUGUGAAGUUCUACAAGAUUUCUUGGGCAAAAAUUUAUUGGCAAGGAUUUCAAAGGGUAGUCUUCCCAAUGAUGAUAUCUUAGCUCCUCUGGUAGAAAUUCAAGGCCACUAGGUAGAAGCACUCGUCCUGGUCUGGAUGUAGGAACAUUGAAGAAUUUGAGGAAUCUAAGAUUGCACAUGUUCAUGAAAGCUGUGGGACUUGGCUCCAAAUAUCCAUUUCCAGACAUAUCAAGUAAUAUGCCUUCAAUAUUUUCAGUUCCCUAAGAAAAUAACAACAAACAUUAUAGGCACCGCACUUAAUUCUUAAAACUGCAUAUAAAUAAUAUGUAUGUAUAAUUAAGAAUAUGCACAUUAAUUCUUCUGGUCCAUACCUUGUCUCUUGUCAAUACAUGACAAAUAUCCUUAUAUUUCCACAACCUGCUGCGUGUCCCAAGUUGUUUGGACUCCUCACAAACAACAUCCUUGCCCAUUUGUUGUAGCAAGUCAUGCAUGCCUACCUUACCAUUUGAAACAGUUAUGAGAGAUUUAUCAAUUAAACGGCUUAUCGCUCUUCUUGGAAAGAAACCACAACCUUCAAAUAUUCUUUCAACACGAUCUUUAGGCUCGCCUUUAAGGAAACAUGCAAUAUCAAGAAAUAUGCUCUUUUCAUGACGUUCUAGUCCAUCAUAACUUAUUCUCAAAACUGCCUGAAUAUUCAUAUCAGGAAUUUCUUUCAAUUUUUCCAACUCACUUUCCCAUUCUUCAAUCCCCUUAUCAUACAAAUUAGAGCCUAAAAUUUCAAGAGCCAAUGGAAUACCUUGAGCAUAUGUUAUCAACUUCUUUGAUAUUUUCACAUAUCCUUUCUUGGGAUGAUUUUGUUUGAAGGCAUCCAAGCUAAAGAGACAAAGAGCUUCAUCAUCAGUUAAUUUUUCAACCUCGUAUAUGUAUCCCUCAGAACAAACAUUUUUAAGUACUUGUCUAUCUCUGCUUGUUACAAUGAUUCUACUACCUUUGCGGUACAAAGCACACUCUCCUGCUAAAAGCUUUAGAUGUUUUGGAUCAUCCACAUCAUCAAAAACAAUGACAACCUUUUGACUCUGAAGUCUUCUCCUAAUCAAAGGGGAUAGCAGAGUUGUGCUUACAUGUAAAUCCUUUUCUCCUAACAAUUGGUUAAUGAUUUUAUCUAAUAAAACAUGUGUUUGUUUUCUCAUCUCCUCUCUGACAUUAUCAACAAAAUAGUGCCCAUCAAAUUUAUCCAUAAUUCGAUUCAAUACUUCACGAGCAAUAGUUGUCUUGCCAAUACCUCCCAUCCCCCAAAUUCCUAUUACUCUUCUAUCAUUUUUCGAUUCAAUACAUAACAAGGAUUCCACUUUCUUCAGACGUGAUUCAAUCCCAACUAAGUUGUCAUUGUAAGAAUCACUAGAGGAGAUGAGACUUAAUUUCUCCCAAACAUCAUUGGCAAUUUCCUCAACUAGUUUGGAUUCAGACCUAAUAUAUAUGAAGAACAAAUGCUAGUAAGUCAAAGCAAACCACCCUUAGAGGCUUAGACUCGCUUCUAAGUAAAUUGAUAAUACACGAUUACAUAUACAUGCAAACAAAAACAAGAAUAGUAAAAAAAUCAACAGAAUUACUUGAUAUUCCGUGAAUCCCAUCCUGCUAAAAUGCUUAUUUCCAUCAGAGCACGACGCCACUUAUCCACCUUGUCUAAACAACCUUUGACUUCUUCUCCAUGCUUAGCAACCGCAAAUGCCUCGCCGAAAUUCCCAAUGAGAUCUUGAACAUCAGUUGGAUCUACAUGGUAAAAAAUUGGUAGGACUAAUUGUCCUAAAAUUUCCUUGCAUUCAAGUAUCUUCACAAGCUCAUCCAAGCACCAUGGAGAAUCUGCAUAAUUUUGAGAGAAAACAACAAUGGAGACAUAAGAAUAUUGAAUUGUUUCCAAGAGAGCAGGUGAGAUCUCUUCUCCUUUACGAAGGUUUUCAUCCAUGAAAGGAUUGAUUUGUUUUCGCUGCAAAGCAUCAAAGAGAUGGGAGAGAAAACCCCCACGAAUAUCUUUGCCUCUAAAGCUAAUAAAAACAUCAUAUUUGCAAGGAGGGGUUGAAGAAGUAGCAUCCAUAGAUGAGUGAUGAAAGAAUGCUUGUGUAACUCCAACUGAGCUUGAAGAAUUUAAAGAGUGCAGAACGCGUUAGAUUGAGUUCAAGGAAAGAAACCAAAACUUGCUAUCUAGGCAUGUUGCUAUCUGACACUCUUCUUCUUCUUUUCGCCUCAACUUUUGCCCUUGUCCACAAUCAGACGGCUUCAGUUUUUCUACCACAUACAUUGAGUCUAUGAUGUAUAAUUUUUAUUUAUUUUAAUUUAUCUUUUAAUCUUUCUAUAUCAUUAAAUAAUAAAUUAUUAUGAAAAAUUAUAUAAUUAUUUUAGAAAUUUGUGAGAUAAUUUAUGAUAAUAUUUAUUGUAAUAUUUUUAAAAAUUAUUAUAUGUAAUUUUUGUAUAUAAAAAAAUUUCAUAUGUUCGUGAAAAAUAAAAGAGAUAAUUGUAUUGUUUUUUGUAUGUAAUUUUGAUAAUUUUAUUAAUAUUUUUAUAUAUAAAUUUUUAAUUUCAUUAUUUUUAAAUUAUAAUUAAAGAAUGCAAAAUUAUAAUUAACUAAAAUUCUUUCUAUCAUAUUGUAGAAUGACAUUUUACACACAAAUUAACUUAUUUAUUUAUAUACUUUUUACUAUAUAUUUAUUCUAUUUUUAUUUUUUAACUGUCAUUAUUUUUAUUAUCAUUUUAAUUUUUAUAUUUAAAUAAUAUUUUUUGGUUAAUAAUUUUUACCAAAAUUUAUGAUUAUAUUAUUUAUUUUUACUAAAGAUAUAAAUAAUUGUUCUUUCUUUGAUACUCAUAUACAUCUUAUUUACUGCGAUAAAUACAUGUAUAUUCGUUUCAUAAAUAAUUUGUGAUGUUCGGAGAUCCAAAUAAUAGAGUUUAUUGUGUAAAUUUGUUUCACUACUCCUGUCUAAGGCCAGACCCAUGAUGACAGUCCAUGAUCUGAAGGCUUCUAAGCCUCCCGCAUAAGCUAGGUCCAGCUCAUUCAGCCGAAGAAUCGAGCCCCGCAUGGGUUUCUCAAUCAGGUCGGUCCAAUUUAUCCGGCCCAAUGAUCAUACCUCCCCUAGGCUCAACCUUAAUCUCAUCAUCCAGCCCACCCGCCUGGUGGGUCCAUCCGCAUGCAUGCCAGAGGAGAAUUAAAUGGCCGUUACGCAUGUAACAGGGAUCUGAUAUUUUCGUACGUCCAUAUCUGUAUAGCAGAGACACGUGCCCCAAUGACAAUGAGACUGUUAUACGUCACUGACGGACAAAGGAAAAAAAUAAAAGGAGAGGAGCAUCCUUCUCUCGGACUAAGCUUACAGAACUCUUGUAAAACUCUAUUUUCUGGAUCUCAGAUUAUCAUGUUCAAUUCAUCCCCAUUUAUUACUCAUGAACCAAGUAAUGUGUAAAACGAAUCAAAAUAUAAAAGUUCCUAUAUAAGAUUAUUUAUUAAUUUUAAGUUAAAAGAUCACUUAAACAAUUAUCAUUUGAGUAAUCCAUAGACACAAGUUAUUUUUCAUAUGGAUUUCUCAGGCGGGUCAGUUUAGUGCACUUAUUUAUAAAAAAUACUUACACAUAUAUAUCUCACAUAUCUCAACUUAUGAGAUUAGUUGUUUUCUUAAAAAUAUAUAUAUAUAUAAUAUAUACUAGUUUCAAUAACUCUAAUUAUUGUUCAAUCAUAAUAAGAAUAUCGAACAGAAAUAUUUAGAGACUUUACUUAAAUACAAUAAAAAACUCACAAUUAUAAUCAUAUUAUAAUUUAUUUUACACAAUACUAUAAUCUCAUAUGGACUUUUAUAUUUAUUCAAGAUUUAAUUAACAUUAAAGAUAAAUAAUAAUUUUAUAUAGUGUAUUUAAAUAUUUAAAAUAUAUGAAUAAUAAUAUCCAAUAAUAAUCAAUAAAUUGGCUGUAUGGCAUAUUAUUAACAAUAUUCACUUACUAAUAGUCGGUAACAGGACCAGUUAUAGAAGAACAUCUAUAAAAAGAAAAUUCAUAGGAAAUAUUACUUUGUGCAUUAAAAUGUAAAUCGCUGUAGCUUACUCUUUGGAGCUGCUAAGAAUUUCUGGACAUUUUCCAAGACAAGAAACAUUUAACUAAAACGACAGAGCUUUAAAGUAAUUUAAAAAAAAAAAAAAAAGAGAUGUGAGGUUUAAUAUCCUAAAAUUCAACUAAUAUAUUUAUCGCGGAAACAAGUCCGUGAGUGCUUUAAAAUAAAUAUUAGGGAAAAUUACUUUAUAGUCCCUGAGGUUUAACGUAAUUAACACUUCUGUCCCUCUAUUUUGGCGACCCAACACUUAAGUCCCUCACUUUCUUUUCUAUCCAAAUUCAUAGUCCUUCCGUCCAAAAUAGCUGUUUGGGACACGUGAAUUGACAAAAUUAACCCUCUUCUUCUUCUUUCUCCUCUUCCUCUUCCUACCCUUUCUGCAACUUCUUCUUCUUCUUCCUUCUUGUGUAAGUUGUAUAAAAAAGUAACUAAUAACUGCGGAAUUAUGUGCAAUUGAUCUGAAAGAUGAAAUUCUACCCACUAUCUUCAAUCAGCCCUCGACAUUAAAAGCAUUUUUUAGUUUAGCCCAGAUGUGUUGAGAAGCAGUUAAAUGUUUUCCCUUUGUGGAUGUUAAUACAGCAGGCAACAAGAGAUAUGCCUGAUAGCUGUAACAGAUUCACAAAUGAACACCAGUUUCAUAGAUCUAAGAAUUACCCAUUAAAAGCAAUCAAACAAGAAUUUGUAAUCAUUAUCCCCAAACACGUCAUCCAAAUGAAAAUAUAAUUGCAAAAUCAUGAAAAACAUAUACCUGCAGAGGAACCCACCAACAAAAUCUUGUCAGUUGAUAGAUUUUCACAAACCCAUUUGCAGACAGCGAUGACAUCCUUGACUUCAGAAAACCCAGUGAGAGAAGGCUUUCCUGUGGACCUCCCAGCACCUCUCAUGUCAAAAGUGACAGCCGUGUAACCUUUCUGUGCCAACCCAAUUGCAAUUCCUUUUAGAAGAGCUUGACAACCACCCAAAACUGAAUAUGGGUGGACAAGAACAAUAACCAAUUUGUCUUUGAUCUCAUCUUCUUUGGGCUUGAAGACCCUUGUCUGGAGCUUCAAUCCAUCAUUGGUUUCUACUGUGGAGGACUCAACUGUAUGGCUUGACAUCCUUCCAAGCAAAAAAGGAUGCUCGGAAAUGGCAAUUUGAUGGAUGAAGGGAGAGAAUUUUUAAAGACCAAGAAAAUUUCUUCUUUCUUCUUUCUUCUUUCUUCUUUCUUCUUCUCUUCUUCUUCUUCCUUCUUCUGCAAGUUCUUCCUCUCCUCCUCCUUCUUCUUCUUCUUCUUUCUUCUUUCUUCUUUCUUCUUCCUUCUUCUUUCUUCUUCUUCUUCUUUCUUUUUCUUCUUUCUUCUUCUUCUUCUGGAAUUUCACAUGGAGAGAAGGGCAUUUUUGGAAAAAAUUAUCACAUCUCACCUUUGACUCUUUGACCAAACGGUUUAAAUGGACGGAAGGACUAUGAAUUUGGACAGAAGAGAAAGUGAGGGACUUAAGUGUUGGGUCGCCAAAAUAGAGGGACAGAAGUGUUAAUUACGUUAAACCUCAGGGACUACAAAGUAAUUUUCCCUAAAUAUUAUAGGCUUUACAAGCUAAAUCACUUAUGUUUAGCUUAAAUCAGUCCAUGAAGAAACUGCAGGAUACGUGAGGGCAGCUGGUGAUGCAUGCAAUUAGCAGAAAUAAACUGCUUAAAAACAAGGAAAAGGAAGUGUAGAGGAUGAUUGAAACUGAGGGAUGAGUAGGUGGCCUAAUGCAUAGACAACGUUUAUUGACUAAAAAGACAUUGCAUUUUAUAAUGAUUUGGGCAGGUGCCAGGUGGAUAAAUUUUCAUAAACUUUUGUCUUUUUUACCUUACUAUAGUGGCUAGACAUUUCCGAGAUGGUGAUUGAUGAAUGAUAAGAUAUAUAAAUGAAGUGAUAGAGCUCUCUCCUUGUACCUUCCUACUUCAAUCUGCUUUUUCUCUCCGAUUUUCUUUUUUCUGAUUAUGGAUUUCACUAUCAUAGCAUGAUAAUAAAAGGAUCUGUUGCAUAGCCUGUCUAAUUUUUCUUUUCCUAAAUAAUAUUAGGAUUUUAUUCAUAUAAAAGGGAGUACAGCCCAUAAUAAACAUACCAAAACCCUAGACCCAGCCAUGCCUAAAAAGAAUAUGACAACUACAGGUUACUAAAACUCACAAGAAAAAAAGUCCCAAGAGACAACCAAAUCCUAGCACCCCUGAUCCAUCUUGACUCGAUCUAAUCCAGCUGAAAGUAGACUACACCGCCGCUAUCUCUGGAGGACGUCAAUCAUCAUGUUGGCAGUACCAAACAAAAAGGAAAAAACUCUCUAUAAUAUUUGUGAAGGCCAUACAAUGUUUGAAGAAGCAUAGGAGAGGAAGAGAACCCACAAACCAUCAACUUUGAAUGCAAGAACAGUCGGAGAAAUGUGGUCGAUAGCUGACAGAAGCACAUGCAGAAAUGGAUCAAGACAUACAGAAGGAGGUCGGUUCUAAGAGAGAGGAGACGUCCUCAAUCGCACCACCUUCUCACUGUCCGAGUCAAGGGAGAAAAACUGUUAAAUUUGGACCAGGCCUAACUCACCCCAAAAGCUAGCUAUGACCAAUAUAAGGGGCACAUUACCCCUUUUCAUAACCGAUGUGGGAUUCAACACAUCCCCUCAUGCCCACUCAACAUCGGAUGGGGAGGUUCUGAUACCAUGUUAAAUUUGGACCAGGCUUAACUCACCUCAAAACUCAAAAGCUAGCGGGGCACGUUACCCCUUUCCAUAACCGAUGUGGGAUUCAACAAAAACCCCUUAAAAACAGAUAUGCAAAAGAAGAAAUAAAGGUAUUCCGUUGAGACGCCGCCCAACCAGUUCUUCAUCAGCCCUCCCAUGAAAACCCAGAAGGGGAAGAUCUCAAAAUCUAUAAAACAAAGCAAAAACACAAAAAGAAUAGAACCCAAAGAAACAACAGCCAAAAUAGUCUCUAAUGCGCCGCUGCCAAUAAUCCAAAUAACAAAAGUAAAAAACUAUCUACAUCUCUCUGGGAGAGAAGCGAACCUACAGCCGGGCGAAAAGUGGAUUCCUUUCAUCUAAAGGACAGGGGAAACCUCCAAUUGAGGCAAACAACCAACAAGACCUGAACUAAUAGAGGCCAGAAACCUCAACGGAAGGUAAACUCUCUCCUCAAAUGGGAGAGAGAGUCAAGUGCCUGUAUUAGUUUAGCGAUUGAAGUUAUAUGACUAGCUUGAUAAACUUAGGGAUCCGACUUUACCCCUGAAUUAAAUUCGUGAGUGCUUUUGAAGAUNNNNNNNNNNNNNNNNNNNNNNNNNNNNNNNNNNNNNNNNNNNNNNNNNNNNNNNNNNNNNNNNNNNNNNNNNNNNNNNNNNNNNNNNNNNNNNNNNNNNNNNNNNNNNNNNNNNNNNNNNNNNNNNNNNNNNNNNNNNNNNNNNNNNNNNNNNNNNNNNNNNNNNNNNNNNNNNNNNNNNNNNNNNNNNNNNNNNNNNNNNNNNNNNNNNNNNNNNNNNNNNNNNNNNNNNNNNNNNNNNNNNNNNNNNNNNNNNNNNNNNNNNNNNNNNNNNNNNNNNNNNNNNNNNNNNNNNNNNNNNNNNNNNNNNNNNNNNNNNNNNNNNNNNNNNNNNNNNNNNNNNNNNNNNNNNNNNNNNNNNNNNNNNNNNNNNNNNNNNNNNNNNNNNNNNNNNNNNNNNNNNNNNNNNNNNNNNNNNNNNNNNNNNNNNNNNNNNNNNNNNNNNNNNNNNNNNNNNNNNNNNNNNNNNNNNNNNNNNNNNNNNNNNNNNNNNNNNNNNNNNNNNNNNNNNNNNNNNNNNNNNNNNNNNNNNNNNNNNNNNNNNNNNNNNNNNNNNNNNNNNNNNNNNNNNNNNNNNNNNNNNNNNNNNNNNNNNNNNNNNNNNNNNNNNNNNNNNNNNNNNNNNNNNNNNNNNNNNNNNNNNNNNNNNNNNNNNNNNNNNNNNNNNNNNNNNNNNNNNNNNNNNNNNNNNNNNNNNNNNNNNNNNNNNNNNNNNNNNNNNNNNNNNNNNNNNNNNNNNNNNNNNNNNNNNNNNNNNNNNNNNNNNNNNNNNNNNNNNNNNNNNNNNNNNNNNNNNNNNNNNNNNNNNNNNNNNNNNNNNNNNNNNNNNNNNNNNNNNNNNNNNNNNNNNNNNNNNNNNNNNNNNNNNNNNNNNNNNNNNNNNNNNNNNNNNNNNNNNNNNNNNNNNNNNNNNNNNNNNNNNNNNNNNNNNNNNNNNNNNNNNNNNNNNNNNNNNNNNNNNNNNNNNNNNNNNNNNNNNNNNNNNNNNNNNNNNNNNNNNNNNNNNNNNNNNNNNNNNNNNNNNNNNNNNNNNNNNNNNNNNNNNNNNNNNNNNNNNNNNNNNNNNNNNNNNNNNNNNNNNNNNNNNNNNNNNNNNNNNNNNNNNNNNNNNNNNNNNNNNNNNNNNNNNNNNNNNNNNNNNNNNNNNNNNNNNNNNNNNNNNNNNNNNNNNNNNNNNNNNNNNNNNNNNNNNNNNNNNNNNNNNNNNNNNNNNNNNNNNNNNNNNNNNNNNNNNNNNNNNNNNNNNNNNNNNNNNNNNNNNNNNNNNNNNNNNNNNNNNNNNNNNNNNNNNNNNNNNNNNNNNNNNNNNNNNNNNNNNNNNNNNNNNNNNNNNNNNNNNNNNNNNNNNNNNNNNNNNNNNNNNNNNNNNNNNNNNNNNNNNNNNNNNNNNNNNNNNNNNNNNNNNNNNNNNNNNNNNNNNNNNNNNNNNNNNNNNNNNNNNNNNNNNNNNNNNNNNNNNNNNNNNNNNNNNNNNNNNNNNNNNNNNNNNNNNNNNNNNNNNNNNNNNNNNNNNNNNNNNNNNNNNNNNNNNNNNNNNNNNNNNNNNNNNNNNNNNNNNNNNNNNNNNNNNNNNNNNNNNNNNNNNNNNNNNNNNNNNNNNNNNNNNNNNNNNNNNNNNNNNNNNNNNNNNNNNNNNNNNNNNNNNNAUUAUCAUCCGCGGCACUGACAAAUUCAUCAUCUCGUACCGUUUCCACCAACAAUUUCAAAGCCUCCAACCGAUUAUAUUUAACACAUAAGUGCAAGAUUGUCUCUCCAUUAUCCAUCUUCUCUCUUAUUGACUCAGGACAAACGCUGACUAAUUCCUUCACAACUGCAACUCUUCCUUUCAUGGCAGCUAAGUGAAGUGGGAUUCUUCCAUCUUGAUCACGUGCCCAGCAAGCAUCAGGAUUCACAGUUACCAACUCUUUAACAAUAUGGGAUUAGCCUUCUGCAGAAGCCAAGUGAAGAGGCAAGCGGCAAAGAGAGUCUAACUCCUCGGCUAGUUUGGGCUUCAGAUUGAGGAGUGCUUGAGCAAACGGAAGGUGACCUCGCAUGGCUGCAAUGUGCAAGGGAGUUUCAUGAUAGGAAGUAAUGGUGACCCUAUCAAGAAGGAGUUCAUCUUGUUGAAGCAACGCAUCUAAUUCAGCUACAUCCCCUUUCAGUGAUGCUUGAUAAAUGAUAAGCUGGUCAUGCUCGAUUGAGUUGUUGAGGUUCUCUAUAGACAUCCUAAUACGCAGAAGGCGGUGGUGAUGAGGGCUUUUGGUUAGAGGGCCUUUGCUUCUUUAUGAAAUUAAUGACGGUGGUAAUAUAUACAGAGAGUUGAUGACCAAAGUGGCCAAUAUUUAUCACCUAUUAUCUUCCAUAUAUUUUCAUAUUAUAAAUUAAAAUUGAUAUAUUUUAUCUCUAACAGCGUAAAAUUCAUGUAACUUUUUAUAAAUUUACCGUGUAUUCUUUUAAAUUAGAAAAAUAAAAUCAAAACGUAAUUUGGUUGACCAAACGUGUCACUUCAAAGUCAACAAGUGCCGUGCUAGAUAAGCCAACAGGACUCUUCCUGGAAAAUGAUACCUAAAUCGAAGUCCGCACAAAGUGGAGUAGUGGUUCGGACCACCAUAGAAACUUCAAGGAAAGAAACCCAAAACUUACUAUCCAGGCAUGUUGCUAUCUGACACUCUUCUUCUUCUUUCCGCCUCAACUUUGCCCUUGUCCACAAUCAGCCGGCUUCCGUUUCUCUACCACAAAUUUAUAUUUGUCAUAUACAUUGGGUCUAUAAUUUCCAAUAAUAUUAGCCGUGUUCGUUUGACCAGCGAGAAGUGCUGUUGAGGAAUAAUAAUUUCCUUUUUAUUUUAUCAUUUAAUUUUUCUACAUUUUAAAUAAUGAGUUAUUAUGGAGAAUUAUAUAAUUAUUUUAAAUUGGAGUUAUAUGUCUUUUAAAUUUAUAAAAUAUUUAUAAUAAUAUUUAUUUUGAUACUUUCAAAAGUCAUAUGUAAUUUUUGUGUACAAAAGUAUUUCAGAUCUUCAUAAAAAGUAAAAGAGAUAAUUUGAAUCUUUUUCUUCUUCAAUUUUCUAACAGACUUAUGAGUGUGAAUUUUUUUUUAUGAGUGAAUUUCUGAUUUUUGAGUUUGAAAAAUAGAACAACACAGAAAUGUUGUUUAGUAACAAUUUUAUGGGAAUGGGUCCUCCAUUGUUUAAUGGAAAAAAUUAUUGUAUUUGGAUAAUCAAAAUGAAAUCUUAUUCAGAGUUUUUUAGUUUGUGGGAUGUUGUUGAAAUUGAGCAUAUCCACUUAGCUUUGUAUCUAGUCCAACUCUAAACCAAAUCAAGAAUUAUGAAGAAUUGAAGAAAAGAAAGCCGAGAGUUUUGAUGUGUUUGUGUGCUAAUUUAAUGGAUAUGAUUUUUACUAAAAUUAUGAAUUGUGAAAUUCUAAAGGAAGCAUGGAAUAAACGUAAGGAGGAGUUUGAAGGAAACGAUAGAAUAAAGAUCGUUAAACUUCUCACUUUAAAAAGGCAAUUUGAGAUGUUUCGGAUGAAAGAAGGUGAAAUGGUAAAAGAAUAUGCUGCAAAGUUGAUGGAUUUGGUGAAUAAGAUUAGAUUGUUCGAGAAGUAAUUUCCACAUUUUAAGUUGUGGAAAAAAUGCUAAUUAAUUUGCCAUUAAGGUUUGAGCCGAAGGUGUCCGCUAUCGAAGAAUCAUGUGAUCUGACUAAGAUGUGGUGAACUUAUCAGCAAAUUACAAGUCUAGAAGCAGAGGUCUAAUUUGAAGGAGAGUGAAAGCAGUAAAAGGGCUUUUCAAGCCAAACAGAUCAAAAAACAAUAUUUUGACCGAAAUCAGAAUACUAUUUCAGAUCAGCGAUCAGAAAAGGAAAAACUAUUCCAACAAUAAGCAAAGGAGGAAAAGGCAAGUUUUUGCCUUAUUCUUUUUUUUUUUUUCAUAAAACUAAUCAUUUGAUAAAGGAUUAUUGGGCUAAAGACAAAUUUAAAAUUCAAGGUAGAUUUUGCAAGAUGUAUGGUCAUUUUGAAAAAUUUUGCAUAAUAAAGCAGAAUCAUAUCACUCUUCAGAAUAUAAAUUAAAAUUCUAAUUAACAGGCUAACUAAGCAUGAUCUGAUUCUUAACAUGUUCAUAACUCUCACUCAAUCCCAUUAAGAAUUUAAUAAGCUCAAAAUUAGUCAUGAUUUUAGCAAAAGGCCAAUUCAUUCUAUAAUUUUUUUUCUUUUAAUUUGGUUAAUUUUUUUAAAAAAAUUUAGUAAAGGAAACUAUGAUAGACAUGUUUAAUCAGGUAAACUACUUAUCUUUUUCUUUAACUGGUUAAAAAGUGGACCAUUUGCUUCACCGAAUGUUUUCUUGAUCUCUUCCCACAGCUCUUUUGCAGAGGUAGCAUAGAGAAAUGCUUCUACCAAUUCCUUUGAGAGAGAGUGAAGGAUCGUUGUCUACUUUCAGCUAUUUCUCAUAAGAGGCUGAAUCAAUAUUUUACAUUUUGCAUUUAUGAGACGAAGCUUAUCAUUCGCUUUAAGAGCAAUGAUCAUAGGUCUACUCCAUAUGAGGUAGUUGAAGAAGUUCAUCUUGUUGAAGAGUUCAUCUGAGUUCAUCUUGUUGAAGCAAUGCAUCUAAUUCAGCUACAUCCCCUUUCAGUGAUGCUUGAUAAAUGAUAAGCUGAUCAUGCUCGAUUGAGUUGUUGAGGUUCUCAAUAGACAUGCUAAUAGGCAGAAGGCGGUGGUGAUGAGGGCUUUUGGUUAGAGGGCCUUUGCUUCUUUAUGAAAUUAAUGACGGUGGUAAUAUAUACAGGGAGUUAUUUAUCACCUAUUAACUUCCAUAUAUUUUCAUAUUAUAAAUUAAAAUUGAUAUAUUUUAUUAAUAACAGCGUAAAUUUCAUGUAACUUCUCAUAAAUUUACCAUGUAUUCUUUUAAAUUAGAAAAAUAAAAUCAAAACGUAAUUUGGUUGACCAAACGUGUCACUUCAAAGUCAACAAAUGCCGUGCUAGUGCUAGAUAAGCCUAAAUCGAAGUGGGCACCUAGUGGAGCAGUGGUCCGGACCACCGUAGAAACUUCAAGGAAAGAAACCCAAAACUUACUAUCUAGGCAUGUUGCUAUCUGACACUCUUCUUCUUCUUCUUUCCUCCUCAACUUUGCCCUUGUCCACAAUCAGCCGGCUUCCGUUUCUCCACCACAAAUUUAUUUUUUUUUUUCACAUUCAUUGGGUCUAUGAUUUCCAAUAAUAUCAGCCAUGUUCGUUUGACUAGCAAGAGGUGCUGUUGAAGAAUAAUAAUUUUUUUAAAAUUUUAAUUUAUCUUUUAAUUUUUUUAUACUAUUAAAUAAUAAAUUAUUAUGAAAAUUUAUAUAAUCAAUUUAAUUCGGAGAUUUACAAUAUAUUUAUGAUAAUAUUUAUUUUAAUAUUUUUAAAAAUUACUAUAUGUAAUUUUUGUGUAUAAAAAGAUUUCAGAAGUUCCUGAAAAAUAAAAGAGAUAAUUUGAGUCUUUUUUUUGUAAUUUUUUAAUGUACUUGUGAGGGUAAUCUUUUUUUCGAGUGAAUUUUUGAUUUUUGAGUCUGAAAAAUAGAGCAACAGAAAAUGUUGUCCCGUAAUAAUUUUAUGAAAACGGGUCCUCCAUUAUUUAAUAGAGAAAAUUAUCAUAUUUGGAUAAUCAAAAUGAAGUCUUAUUUAGAGUUUUUGAGUUUGUGGGAUGUUGAAAUCAAGCUGGUCCAACUUGCCUUGGUCCUAAUCUAACUCCAAACAAAAUCAAGAACCAUAAAGAAUUGAAAAGGAGAAAGUCGAGAGUUUUAACGUGUUUGCAUGCUAGUUUGACGGAUAUGACUUUUACUAGAAAUAUGAAUUGAAAAACUCUAAAAGAAGCAUGAAAUAAAUCCAAGGAGGAGUUUGAAGAGAGGGAUAGAGUAAAAAUCGUUAAGUUUUUCACUUUAAAAAGGCAAUUUGAGAUGCUUAAUAUGAAAGAAGGUGAAACGUAGAGGUGAGUAUUUGGUCGGUUUGGUUAAAAAUAAAACUGAACCGAAUAAACCGAAAACUAAAAUUUUAGUAUUUAUGAAAAUCGAACAAAACUGAUUUUGGUCAGAAACCGAAUCGAACCGAACCGAUUUGAUUCGAUUCGAUUCGGUUCGGCUUGAUCGGUUUCAAUUUUUAAUAAUAUUUUUUAUUUUUUACACUUUAUUUUUAAUAUUUUAAAAUUUAAUUAAAAUAUUUUAAUUUUAAUAUGAUUUAAUUUCUUUAUAUUAUUGAAAAAAUAUAUUAUCACUAAUCGGUUCGGUUCUAUUUUUUCGGAUUAAAAUCGAACCGAAUCGAAAUAAUUGAAAUUUCUAAAAUUAAAAAUCAAAUCGAACCGAAAUGAAUAAAAAGCCGAACUAAAUUUUUAAAUUAAUUCGAUUUGAUCAAUUUUUUCGGUUUGAACCGAAUACUGCUCAAGUCCAGUGAAACGGUAAAAAAAUAUACUGCAAAACUAAUGGAUUUAGUGAGCAAGAUUAGAGUAAUUUCUAUAUUUUAAAGUUGCGGAGAAAAUAUUAGUUAAUUUGCUAUCAAAAUUUGAACUAAAGGUGUUCUUAUCAAAAAAUCUUGUGAUCUGAUUAAGAUAUGUAUGGUGAACUUAUCAGCAAAUUACAAGCUCAGGAGUAUAGGUCUAAUUUGAGGAAGGAUGAAAGCAGCGAAUGAGCUUUUCAAGCCAAACAAAUUAAAAAAUAGUAUUUUGACCAAAAUCAUAUUAUUAUUCCAAGAUAAGUGAUUAGAAAAAAAGAAAAUCUAAGGCAAGUUUUCGUCUUGUUCUUUUUUUUUUUUUCUAAAAAACUAAUCAUUUAAUAAAAGAUUGUUAGACUAAAGACAGAUCUAAAAUUGAAUGGAAAUUUUGCAAGAUGUAUGAGCAUUUUGAUAAAACCACCCUUUGAGUGAUACUUGAUAAGUGAUGAGCUAGUCAUAUCCGAUUGGAGAGUUGAGGUUCUCGGUAGACAUUCUAUGUUAGCAUGAUUAUAAAAAUCAAUUUUUGCAUGAUUUAGGAGAUUUAUUUAGUAUAAUUAUAGCAAUUAAUAUUAUUAUAUUAUUGUAUGAUAUUUUAUACGCAAAUUAAUUUAUUUAUUUAUAUUUUUUUAUUAUCAUUAUUUUUAUUAUUAUUUUAAUUUUUAUAUUUAAAAAAUAUUUUUUGGGUAAUAAUUUUGACCAAAAUUUAUGAUUAUAUUAUUUAUUUUUACUAAAGAUAUAAAUAAUUGUUCUUUGUUUGAUACUCAUAUACAUCUUAUAUCAAAUUAUAUAUAUAAAAAAAAUUAAAACUAUUAAUGAUGAAAUGCAAAGCACUGUUAUUAACAACAAAUUUAACUAAAAUUACACCAUUUUAUUACAUAUUCAAGCUGAUAUUAAAUAUUUUCAAAAUUUAGACUGUGACAGAAAUUUUUUUUAUAAGAUUUAAAGAUAUAUGUGAUAACCGUUGGGUUUUACAUCUCCCUGAGUCAGGCCGGAUUCAAGAAGAUACGAUCGGUUCAAAGUCUGAAAGAUACCCUAGGAUCACUCAACCCGAUCUCUCCAGGCCGGAUUCGAGGGAAUGAAAAACGAGUUAGGACACACAUGGGCUCAGUUUAGCAGAUCGAAGAUUGGCCCAGUGACAUGACAAGAGGUAGUACGGCGAACUCGGUCACUUCACAGCCUUUCCCGUUUGCACACCGGAAGGCAUUAAAUAGCCACCUGACACGGAGUGGACAUAUGAGAAUGAAUACUUAUGGAUCAGUGUGUAGCAGAAAAAGUUCGGUCAAAUGGGAACAAGGAUAAGAAGGGAGGAGAUCAUCCGAGAAAAUCAAGUUUUACACCCCCAUACUGUAGAUCAUACACUUUUCUGGAUUUCAGAAUAUCAAUAUGUUUAUGUAUUUUUUAUCCAAUGAAGAAAUAUGUAUGAUCGUUUAUAUAUAUAUAUAUAUAUAUAUAUAUAUAUAUAUAUAUAUUAUCUAAAAAUGUUCUAAAAAUUCAAAAUAUGCUUUUUUCAAUUUUAUUUUUUUUUUAUCAAUUUUAGUCUAAUUUAAAUUUUUUAAAUCAAUUUUAAUUUAUAGUUAAAAUUGAGAUCGAAAGUCAUUGAGGUAGUGACUCAUCACAUGGUAUGAAUAUUAAUAUUAUAAUUAUUAUAGCUGACGUGACUAAGAGUUUUAUAAUAAAAAAUUUAAAUUUUUUAAUUUUUAUCAAUUAUAAUUUAAUUUUAAAAUUUAAUUUCAAAUAUAAUCAACUUAUUAAUUUUAAUUUAAAUUAAUAAAAAAUAAUAUUUUAUUACUUAAUAAAACAAAAUUUUAGUAUAUUUAUUUAUUUUAUAUAUAUUAUACUAAGUAAAUAUAAUAAUUUAUCACUAUAUAAUGUACAGUUUAACUUUAAUAUAACAAUUUUGAUUAAUUAUAUUUUCUUUUUAAGAAAAAUAUGUAUUAAAAUUAUGCUCGCAAUUUCUCGUUAUUAUUUUAGAAAAUAUUUAAAUAUAAAUAUUUUAAAUGAUAUACAGAUGUAUUUAAAUACUUAUUUAGCACUCAAAGAUAAUUUAUUUUUUUAAAAGAUAAUUUAUUUUUAGAUUUUGAGAAUUUUUUAACACUAUUAAAUAUAAUUGUAUUAAUAUUUUUAUUUUUUAAAUGAUAAUUACAGAAUACAUAAUAAAUUUGAUUCAAAAAAAAAAGAACACAUAAUAAAUUAAUUUUUUUAAAAAAUUAUUAAAAAUAUUUUUCGAAUUUAAAUUAUUUUCUGUGGUGUAAAUAAAUCUAUUUCAACUGAAUAAAAGUUAAUUAAAAUUUUAAAUGGCAGAUAUAAUGAUUGAUUGGACAGAUCAUUAAAGCUAUGGUAAAGGAGUUUUAUUAAAUUGGAAUUAAUUAAAAAUAAAACUUUUUCGUAAGCAUAUGAAUAGAUUAAUUUACAGAUUUUAAAUGUUGGAUCAAUUUUUUUAAAGGCAAAAAAAUUGUAUUUUUAAAAUUAUUAAAGUAGCGAAAUUAUAAAAAAAUUAUAAAUAAUAUAAAUUAUAAAAAAUUAAUUCAGUUUAAUUACAGUAUUUAUUUAAAUUCAUAAUAUUCCAAACAUAAUAAUAUUACUAAAAUAAAUAAAUUUCUUAACUUUUCAAUCCCUAUUUAAAAAAAAAAACAAUCAUAAAUUUUUUCGUUUUAAUAAUUUUAUCCUUUUUUUUCAUAAUAAAUUUAUUAUAAAUUAUGCUCACAUACUUAAUUUAAAAGUUAAUGCUAACUAGAAUUUAAUUUAAGUCUAAGCUUUCUUUAUAUGUGAAAAUAAUUUAUAUUUAAAAAUAUUUUAAUAAAAUAACUUAUUUUCAAUUUUUUAAUUUUAAUUUAAAAAUAAAAUAUUUUAAUAAAUUUAAAAAAGUAAUUUUUUUCCUGAAAUAACUUAAUUUUUUUAUAAAAAUUAUUUUUCAUUAAUUAAUUUUUAAAUAUUAAAAAAUUUGAAAAAUAAUUUUAAUAAAACAAUUGAAACCUAAAUAAUGAAUAAUGGUUGAGGGUUGAUGUGACACUAGAGCGAUGUUUAAGAAAAGUAAUUAACAUUAUAGCAUACAACUUGAUGAUCGCUGGAUUUUUCUACCUCUACAAAGAGCCUAGUCCACCAUGAAAAAUCCAAUGAGCGAAGGCCCACACACCUGGUAUGCGGAGUAAGCCCGGCUCGUUCAACCUUCGAGGCCGGGCUCGACCAAGUUCUCUUACUCAGAUCGGCCCAGUCCGAGCAAUCUCCUAAGCAAAUCCCUUUCUCUCGGGCCCAUCGUCCAGUCCAACUCUUGGCCCAGCCCAGGAUCAAGAAGGAUAUUCACGGGACAGCCUGGCAGAUUCGCUCAACUGUACGCACAGGGAGAAUCAGAGGCCGUUACGCAUGGAGCAGGCGCCUGAUACUCUCGUACGCUCGAAUCUGUAUGGCAGAGACGCGUGGCCCACUCAUGAGGAGGCUGUUACACGUCACCACCAAGCAAGGCGAAAAGGAUAAAAGCGGAGUCCCCUCCCCAGAAAGUUUAAGUUUAUGAUUCAAGACAAAACCCUCUUGUAAAACCCUAUUCUAUUGGAUCUCAGAUCAUCAAGUGGCGCCGUCUGUGGGAAACGAAGGAGAUCUUUUCAUCACCGGAGUUUCCCUUUUAAAAACCCACUGAGAUCCACGAUGGCAAACCAGCAAGAAAACAACCUUCAUGUCCCAAAUGAUUUGAGCUCUGCCCAGGAGGGGCAGCAGUUCUCCUUUUCUAGUCCUACAGCACUAAAUAACCAAACGCCUAUCCCCCUCAACCCCUCGCCAAGCUUGGCAGGAAACACUCCUAUUAUGACCCUGUCUAAUCAGGACAUUCAAACCAUGGCUCUCCAGUUACAGAAUACCGCUCACUGGUUGGGGCAGAUAAUGCAACAGAGGGGCCUUAGCACCCCAGUAAAUACACUUCCGGUGGUAGAAGAACCUCGUACGAAUGAGCCCCGACCUACCUCUGACCGCCCCCAGAACAGCAGCUGCGAUACCGGGGAAAAAGGAAGAAGAGCCGGGGAAGAAGAAGAACCGGAGGCCCGAAUCCAUGGGAGGAGAGCGAGAGAGAUGAUAGAAAACGAGGAGGCGGACAUUCAUUCCGCCGAGACGACCUGGAGGAUAGGAACUGAAGCAGAGGAGGAGGAAUACGGCUUGGAGAGAAGAGUUAGCCCAGAAGAUGAGAAGAUGAACCAGAAGUUGAAAAGGUUGAAAGAGCAGCUCUUAGCCGAGCUAGGCAAGCAGGACCAGAACCAAACCUCUUUGCCUACUUCCUCCCCUUUCUCAAAGUGGAUGCAGCAAGAAACUGUUCCUAAGAAGUUUAUGAUGCCGUCGAUGGCGGUCUAUGACGGAGCUGGUAACCCGAGGGAGCAUGUCAUGAACUAUAAGACCUUCAUGGAGUUACAAACUCUGUCAGACGCCUUAAUGUGUAAGGUGUUCCCAACGACGCUCUCGGGACCAGCACGGGCGUGGUUCAACAGCCUCGAGGCCGAAAGUAUCAGAAGUUUCGGAGAUCUAGCAACCCGCUUCAUCAGCCGGUUCAUAGCCGGAGUGCCAGCAGAAAGGAGGACGAGUUACUUGGAAACAGUAAGACAGAGAGGAGAUGAGUCACCCAGAGAAUAUGUCGCCCGUUUCAAUACGGAGGCCUUGCAGAUUCCCGAGCUUGAUGAAGGAAGGGCGGUAGAGGCCAUGCAAAAGGGGACAACCUCUGCCGAGUUCUUUGGCUCGCUAAGCAGGAAACCUCCGGCCUCAUUGGCCGAGUUGAUGAAGAGAGCGGAGAAGUAUAUAAGGCAGGAUGAUGCCUUGGUAACAAGUCGAUUUGCCAAAGGAAAAGAAAAAGCCCCGGAGGAGAAGAGACCGGAGAGACACGAGAAGAAACAUGGUAAGAGGUUCGCGCCAUACAAGCAGGCUUGGGAGCGUAGAGAUCAAAGACCUCCCCUUCCUGGGGAGCUCGAGUCAAGAUUGCCCCCUCCUUGGGUCCCCGAGAAGCCGACCCCCCUCAAUGCCUCUAGAGCCGAAGUGCUCAUGGCAGUCCAGGAUAAGGAGUUCCUCCAGUGGCCCAAACCCAUGAGGUCGGAAGCAGACCAAAGGAACCCUGACAAAUAUUGUCAGUACCAUCGGACGCAUGGCCACGAUACAAAUAACUGUUUCCAGUUAAUCGCAGAAAUUGAGAGACUGAUAAAAAGAGGGCAACUGAAGAAUUUUGUAAAGAAACCGGAGGGACAGAGGCUUCAACCCGGUCCGGCGACUCAGAUGCCUAGGAGAACGGGAACGGGACCUGUGAAUGAUAGAUCCAGUGGAACCAUCAACAUGAUUGUGGGAGGAACCGGAGGGCGGAUGAGCCGCCGAGGAAAGAAGAGAAAUCGGGAAGGAGAGACCAGCAAUGGGGAAGUCAUGCAGAUCGUUGACCACUCCUCUGUAACCAUCACUUUUUCUCCAGAAGAUGCCCAGGGUAUUCAGAUGCCCCAUGAUGACGCGCUCGUCAUAGAAGCCGUCAUUCAUAAUUAUCGGGUAAAGAAGGUCCUAGUGGAUGAUGGGAGUAAAGUCAACUUGUUACCGUACCGGGUCUUCCAGCAGAUGGGAAUUCCAGAAGAGCAGCUGGUUCGAGAUCAGUCACCAAUCAAAGGGAUCGGAGGAGUACCGGUGCUUGUAGAAGGAAAAGUUAGCUGGCUCUUACCUUAGGAGAAGCGCCCAGGACUCGCACCCAUCAUGAGGUAUUUUUGGUGGUCAAACUUCCGUUGAGCUAUAAUGCAAUUCUGGGGAGGCCGGCGCUGUUCAAUUUUGAAGCUGUCACUAGCAUCAGGUAUUUGGUACUCAAGUUCCCGACAAAGGAAGGAGUGGGAGUAGUCCGGGGUAGCCAAGAAGAAGCAAGAGCAGUAUACUUGGCUACAGUAACAGAACCGAGCUCGACCAGAGAAGUGCUCGACUCUGAAGUUCUGGAGGUUAGAGAUGAGACAAAAGAAGCCCGGACAGAGCCGGUUGGAGAAUUGGAGACCUUCCCCUUAUCAGAAGCAGAGGGAAAUAAGGUCUUCAGUCUCAAUGCCGGCCUCACCGAAGAACAGAAAGGUGAAGUCAUGGCCUUGAUCCGAAGUCACGCGCCGACCUUCGAGUGGAAACUUUCCGACAUGCCGGGAAUUGAUCCUGAGGUAAUGACACACAAACUGAAUGUCCUCCCCGAAGCCAAGCCAGUAAAGCAGAGGAAGAGAGUAGUAGGUAGAGAGAAGCAGCAGGCUACCCGGGAAGAAGUGCAGAAGUUGGAGGAGGCAGGUUUUAUUAGGGAGGUUAUGUAUCCCCAGUGGUUAGCAAAUCCUGUGUUAGUCAAAAAAGCCAAUGGCAAAUAUAGGAUGUGCAUAGAUUUUACUGACCUAAAUAAGGCCUGCCCCAAAGAUUGUUAUCCCCUCCCCGAUAUUAAUAAAAUGGUCGACUCAACGGCUGGCUUCGAUUAUAUGUCUUCCUUGGAUGCUAUGUCUGACUAUCAUCAGAUCCCAAUGGAAAGGUCGGAUGAGGAAAAGACCUCAUUUAUAACUGAAGAUGGAACUUACUGUUAUAGGGAUAUGCCCUUCGGAUUGAGAAAUGCGGGGGCAACCUACCAGAGGUUGAUGAAUAAAAUUUUUAAAAGCCAGAUCGGCAGGAAUGUAGAGGUGUAUGUGGAUGAUAUGGUGGUCAAAAGUUCAACCUUCCAACAACAUAUAGCAGAUUUAAGGGAGGUAUUCGGAGUAUUAGAUCAAUACAGAAUGAAGUUGAAUCUAGCAAAAUGUGCUUUUUUCAUCAGAGGAGGAAAAUUCUUGGGGUUCAUGGUAAGCGAAAAAGGCAUUGAGCCUAACCCGGAGAAGGUAGAAGCCAUACUGAAUAUGCCACAGCCGACCUGUGUAAGGGACGUCCAAAGACUAACCGGGAGAGUAGUGGCACUCAACCGAUUCAUGUCGAGGUCGGCAGAAAAGUGCUUACCAUUCUUCAAAAAGUUGAGAAAGGUGCCAAACUUCGAAUGGACAGAAGACUGCCAGAAAGCUUUUGUAGAACUUAAGAGAUAUCUCAGCUCACCUCACGUGCUCAGCAGUCUCGUGAGAGGAGAAGAACUUCUGAUAUACCUGGCGGCCUCGGAACAAGCAGUCAGCGCAGUAUUAGUAAGGGUGGAGGAAGGAGAACAGAAACCCGCUUUUUACGUCAGCAAAGUACUCAGAGAUACCGAGGUCAGAUACUCGAACAUUGAGAAGAUGGCUUACGCCUUACUGCUAGCAGUCCGAAAAUUUAAAGUAUAUCUGGAAGGUCACCAAGGAGUUGUGAUGACAGACCAACCUUUAAAGAAGAUCCUGCGUAGGCCAGAGACUUCAGGACGGAUGCUGGCAUGGUCUGUAGAAAUCAGCCCCUACUGUCUAGAGUAUCGACCUCGGACAGCUAUAAAAUCUCAAGCCCUCGCCGACUUCAUAGCAGAGUGCGCAUUCAAUGAGGAGAAGGGAGGAUCAUCCUCAGAGAUAUCAAGAAAGGGGGGAGAAAGAGAACCUUCUCAAGAAUUUAACUGGAAGCUGUAUGUAGACGGGGCAUCAGGCGCUGAGGGCAGCGGAGCCGGAAUAAUGCUCAAGGGGCCAGAAGAUUUUAAAGUAUGCUACGCCUUACGUCUAGAGUUCAAAGCUUCGAAUAAUGCGGCAGAAUAUGAAGCCCUGAUAAAUGGGAUGUUGGUAGCGCUGGAAGUGGGAGUAACCGAUCUCGAGAUAAAAAGCGACUCUCAGCUGGUGAUCAACCAGGUAACAGGGGCAUAUCAAGCUAGAGACCCCAUUAUGCAGAAUUAUCUGGCUAAAGUGAAAACUUUAGAAGCCGAGCUCACAAGCCGAGGAGUGACCAUCAGAUUUCAAAGGAUACCCCGGGAAGAAAAUGAGGAAGCAGAUCUGCUAAGCUGACUGUCCAAAGAAGAAUUGGAACAGCUUCCUGAGGAAGUAUAUAUACAACAUGUCCAUAUACCUACUUUCAAUAAAACUAACAUAAUACUGCAGGUAGAACAGGGCCCGACCUGGAUGACCCCAUAUCUAGAAUAUCUGGAAAAGGGCAAGCUUCCCGAAGAUAAAGGAGAAGCUAGAAAAAUAGCAGCUCGUGCCGCAAACUACCAAGCAGUCAGGGGGGCCUUGUACAGAAAGGGGAAAUCUAGUCCGUGGCUCGGAUGUGUGAGCCCGGAAGAGGCUACGAAGGUGAUGGAAGAAAUACAUAGAGGCAUAUGCGGAGCCCAUGAGGGAGGAGGGACAUUAGCUAAUAAAAUAUUCAGAUAAGGAUAUUAUUGGCCUACUGUCAAAAAAGAUACAGAAGAGUUCGUCCGAAGAUGCGACAUAUGUCAGAGAUUUGCUAACGCCAUCAAAACUCCAGCCACUCCUUAAGCUAACAUAUCCAGUCCGUGGCCUUUCUCGCAAUGGGGCAUUGACAUUCUAGGACCUUUCCCCAAGACUACGAGGCAGAGGAAAUUUGUAGUGGUGGCCGUAGAGUACUUUUCAAAAUGGCCGGAAGCAGAAGCAAUAGCCACAAUCACAGCUCGCAAGAUGAUAGAUUUUGUAUGGGGACAUAUCAUCUGUAGAUUUGGCACACCUAGAGUGCUUAUCUCAGACAAUGGCAGACAGUUCGAUUGCAGCACUUUUAGAGCUUUCACAACAAACAUGGGUAUAUGGCAUAAAUUCUCCUCAGUAGCUCAUCCUCAGACUAACCGCCAAACAGAGGUCACUAACAGAGCUAUCCUCCAAGGGUUGAAAAAGCAGCUGGAUGGGGCAAAGGCGAAUUGGGCAGAAGAGCUCAACAGCAUCCUAUGGGCAUUACGCACCACUCCCAGAACGUCUACUAAAGAAACGCCUUUUGCACUUGCCUUUGGCACAGAGGCCGUGGUGCCCGUUGAGUUGCAGAUCCCUACUCAUCGAGUUCAGUUUGCUAGUGAAAGCACUAACGAAGACAAGCUAAGAAACAAUCUGGAUGCCCUUGAAGAAAUCAGGAAAGAAGCCCAAAUCCGAACGGCCGCCUAUCAACAAUGGGCAGCGCGAUAUUACAACCAAAAGGUCAGAGAAAGAAGUUUGAAAGUGGGAGACCUAGCCUUAAGGAAUCUGGAGGCUACAGGAAAAAGAGAGGCUGCUGGCAAACUAGCACCAACCUGGGAGGGACCAUUCAGAGUAACAAAAGUAGUCCGGCCAGGAGUAUACCGGAUCGAAGAUAUGCAAGGAAAUCAGGAGCCCCAUGCUUGGAAUAUUCAACACUUAAAGAGGUAUUUCCCUUGAUAUAUUUGUAAAGAAAGUCAGUUUAUUCUGAACAAAUAUGAAUGAAGUAAAUUAUUUACACGAAGAGACUGUUGUUCACACAAUGAGACUAUAUUUACUAUCUUGAAUAAUAUUCCCCCAUGAAAAAGAAAGAGCAGGGCUCAGAAAAAUCCCCUAGCAGAACAAGACCUCAGUUAGGCACAAAACCAGCUGAGACGACGAAGCGACAGUAAGGCCAAAGAGCCUGAACCUUAUGCCAGACCUCCUAAUAGAACAAGAGAAAAUAACCGGCGAGGCCCCGAGGUCAUCCCGGAAAUACGAAGAAGACCGGGAUCCCCUAGAACUCCCGGAAAAAUAAAGCAAAAAAUAGCCGGCGGGGCCCCGAGGUCACCCCGGAACAAAACAACCAGGAUCCCGUAAGAUCUCCUGGAACAAAAAAUAACCGGCGAGGCCCCGAGGUCAUCCCGAAAAUACAAAGAAGACCGGGAUCCCCUAGAACUCCUGGGAAAGCAAAGCAAAAAAUAGCCGGCGGGGCCUCGAGGUCACCCCGGAACAAAACGACCAGGAUCCCGUAAGAUCUCCUGGAACAAAAAAUAACAGGCGAGGCCCCGAGGUCAUCUCGUAAAUACAAAGAAGACCGGGAUCCCCUAGAACUCCCGGGAAAACAAAGCAAAAAAUAGCCGGCGGGGCCCCGAGGUCACCCCGGAACAAAACGGCCAGGAUCCCGUAAGAUAUCCUGGAACAAAAAAUAACCGGCGAGGCCCCAAGGUCAUCUCGAAAAUACAAAGAAGACUAGGAUCCCCUAGAACUCUCGGGAAAAAACAAAAACGGUCGGUGAAAGAGCCGACCUCACAAAAAGAGGCUCGAGGCGUAAUAUCUAAGAAAGAGCCGACCUCGAAGUAACUACUGGCGCUAAAAGCCGGAAUAAAGAAGCAAACUGCCGAGCCCCCAGCUCGGGUAGGCAUAUGCCCUGAAACGCUCAAGAAGAAUACGGCUAAGUAAUAAGGAAACAAUAGGGAACCGAACUCCCUCCAUAAAAAUGCUUGAAAAACGAAGAAACGUACAGGAGGACAGAUGAAGGCGAAAGAGCUAUACUCAAAGCUCAAACCAGUCUGUCUGGAACAGACAUCCGGACUUGCAAUCAGGAAAAGACUAAAAAGCAGACAUGAUUAGUCACCAUUAAAAGAUAUGAGAUUUGAUCCCUCAGAAUAUUAGCUGAAAACCGAGCUCAUAAUGAAAAGCUAGGUUAGCCCAGAGAAAGCUUACGAAUAAGAGUAGGCAGUGUGAAUGUUACAAGUACAGAUAUAUGCUAAAGAAAAUGAAAAAGAAGCAUAGUUCAAGAAAAUAGGAAUCGAAGUUUCAUUAAAAUAAGUAGUUAUUACAGCUUACUCCUUGGAUGAGGAAGAAGGAAAAAUAGUUCUUAAGGGACUUGCGGUUGUAAUUACAUCCUCACUUACACUAUGUCUAUUUACAACCCUAUCUGAAGAAGGCCCGGGAUCCUUUGGAUCAGAUUUCCCAGUAUCCGCAAAAGGGGCAAUCUCCAACCCUGGAUCGAGGUCCUCUCCAGUAGGUUUGGGGUCGCCCUCUUCAGACUCAAAGGCUCCCGCAUCCUCCUCAUCCGACUUAGAUUCUUCUUCGGAAGAAGAUACAGCCGACGUACCUCCAACGCGGCAGUCCCCUCGGGGCAUGGGGAAGUCAUCUUCUCCAUACAACACCGACUCACCAUCAGAGUCCACUUCUCUCAUACGAAGCUCUGCUAAAGGAGUAUCAGAAGCGUGUCUAGCCUCUCUUAUACCGCGGUUGUAACCAGUUGCAUACAUGCGGAAGGCUUUGUGAAGAAUAAGAGCCUUCAGGUCUGCAGAGGCUUUAUAUUCGUCAAGACGUGCCUCACAGGCCUCAGCUAUAAAUGCCUUCAAUUCAGGAGAAUCUUUGUAGUCCUGAAGGUGAACUUCACAGGCCUGCUCAAUCUUUCUUUUCAGCUCUUCCGACUCCUGAACUUCCGUUAUGCAUUUUUCGCGCUCUAGCCAGGCCCUGUCUUCAACAUGUUCUACUACCUUGAGCAGGGCCGAACAUUUACGCUUCAAAGUCCUAACUUCAUAAUUAAGAUGCUGAUGGCGAAGAUUGAAUUCCUCAGCUGAUGAAGCCAGGUCUCUAAUACGUUCAGAGCUUGUACUCAACUCCUGCUCAAGGACCUUCACCCGAGAUAGGGCCUUUUCCUUCUGAGCAUCCACCUCAUUCAGGCGAACACGAAGUCUUUCGGAUUCAGCCUUUAAGGCCUCAUAUUGACGCUGAAUCUCAGCUCUCUGACUCACGGCCUCAUCUUUCUCUCUAAGGGCCUAUGUCGCAGAAGCCAGCUGCUUUAAAACCUCCGUACAACGAACCUCCACAGCAGCUGCCCUCUCAUCAGACUCCUUGAGGACCCCGCGAGUAUGAGACAGCUCUGCUUCUAAGGACUUGGUAUGCUCUGCUGUCUUAAUCGCCUUCUCCUCAGCUUUUUUAAAAGCAUCCAGCGCAGAGUGCAACUCCAUCUGGAGGGACUGGAUACGCUCCCGAGCAGCACCAAGAUUGCCCCUCGCGUCACUGGUUGCAGAUAAGUUUUCCUCCAGACGCGCCUCCUCAAUCUGGCGGUCCACUGAUUCCCGGAAGGAACGGUCACGAACGUCCACCUCCAUGAGGAGGCCCGUCACCUAACACGGAGGAACAAACGUCAGGAAAAAGAAAUAAAAGAAAUCAAAAGAGAAAUUGAAAAAUAAUUUACCAUCAGGAGCAUCUCCCUAAUUGUAGAUCCCAGCUCCUCACGAGAACGGGAUUGGAAGGACGCUAGUUCCCUGGUAGAACUGGCCAAGAGACCCGUAAGGGCAAGAAGACGUGGAUCCGAGACCUCUGUCAUUCCACCAAACAUUCGCUCUCUAAAAAGCUCGGCGACAGCACUGGCCGAAGAUUGAGAAGUGAUAUCCGCUGCGUUCAGAAUAUUGCUGCCCAGGGAAGACACAACAGGAACAUCUUUCUCCUUCCCAAUAGGAGGGAGAGCUGGAGAAGCUCCCUCGGCAGCCCUGGAUUUCUUCCGAGCUGGAAGAGUAGCAGACAUCUCAGGAAGGGCUGAGCGUUUGUCCCCAGUCUUGGGUGGGACGCCUUCAGGUCUUUCAGACCCAGACCUCACAGAAGCAGGGGCAUCUUGGGCUGAAAUCUCUGGAACUUGGUCCUCUAUAAGGAUGAUCUCCAUCCCUUCCCCAGAGGCCUCUUUAUCCUCAGUAACGGGGGACUUGAAUUUUUCCCCUGAUAUCUCUUUGGAAGAACGGGCGAGAUCCAAAUCCGCCGGCUCGUUGACCCCGGUCUGCUCCACAAUGGCAAGAGGGGUUUCCCUCACCUCCGCUGAAGAAGCUUGAGCAGACUUAGACUCUUCAAUAGGCUUAAUGGUCAAAGCCGACUUGCCGCGACUGGGCAACUUAGAUGAUUUGGAGCUGCGGGCUCUCGGUUUAGGAUCACGAGAGGAAGCCUUGACAGGAGGUCGACUAACUUUCUUGGAAGGGGCAACCUGAACCACCUCUGCAGCAACCUCCGGCACUGGACGCCCAGCUCGAAAGGCAUCGAAAAUCGCGUGCAUGUUCUCCCGGGACAAAACCAGGUUCUUCGGGAACUUGAUCUCAUCCAUUUUUACUUCAGAAGCUGCAAAAAGCACAAAAUCAUGAAGAGUUAGCACACUCCUUGACAUCGCAUAUAAAGAAAAACAGAGCUGUUGAAUAAGGCGAUAUACCCGUGUCCCGGAUAUCCCUAAGGUUAGACGCAAACAUACAUUUCUCGACGUCAUACUUCAUUUCAACAGAAGUCAGUCGAAGUAACCCCACCUGCUCAAUAAGGCUCAAUCGGAGCAGCUCGUUGCAACCCGGGUGGACCUCCUCCCAACUUAGAUCCACUUCCCAGGAUCGAGCGGACUCUAAUUUUAGCUCCGCCACAAGGAAAUGCUCUACUCAUCCCUUUAUGGAAUCUUUAUAGCCCGUGAAAAGGGACAACCCACUACGGGGAGCAAGAUAGUAAAAAUUAUGAACCGUCUUAAUCAGACGGAAAAGAGUGGCGAACAGACACGCCGUGGGUGUAAAACCCCAACUCAGGCAGACAGACUCAAAACAGGACAGGAACAAAACAGAAUUUGGGGUCAACAUCCGAGGGGUUACCCCGAAAUACUCGAAAACCUCGAUAAAGAAAGGAGUAAAAGGAAACGGUAGACCGAAUUCCCUCUGCUUAAGAAAGAACACUAUGCAGCGACCCCUUUGGGGAUCAAACAAACCAGGAGGAGGAGGAUUUGGGAGGACUAUCCUCUCGUUUUCAAAAGGAGCCCGAAUAAGAUAAAGCGGAGUAUCUAAAAGCCUUCGAGGAAUGUGAUUAGUUAUGGUGGAGGAAGUAAUAUGUGACCUAAGAUUGGUGACAUCGGGGAGCUUUGGACCCGCCAUGGGAGAACAAAGAAGCGUACCUGAAAACGCAAUAGGAUGAAGAAAGCAUAAAGAGUCGCAGGAGAGCAGAGAGCAGAAGAGGUUUAAUUUCUUCAGAAGACGAAAAGAAUUCGAAAUGAAAGGCAAUAAUGAGACGGAACGUUGAUCUGAACAGUUUUGUCUUGGAGCGGCGCGAUCAUUAAAUGCUCUCGAAGUUUACCCCCUCAACGGUUAGGUAAUAACCGGCGAGAGGGUAAAAGGGGCAAAGGGAUGACCGCUAGGCUUCUCUACCCCUACAAAAGGCCAGAUCCAUAGUGAUAGCCCAUUAUGAAAAAGCCCAUGCGCCGUAUACAAUGCAAAGCCCAACUUGUCCAAAUCUUAAAGACCGAGCUCCACCAGAUCUUCCCAGUCAAGACGACUUAACCUGCAAGAUGUACAAUUUCACCAUCUCUACGGUAAGUACCGAGGAAAUAAAAAGCAAGGAGUGAAAAGACUCAGAGAUACAAGCAGAUGGGAGCGUGAUAAAGGUCAGACCUGCUCAUCACUUAAAAAGAUGUAAGAUUUGGCCUAUCGCUAUUUAAUGAUAGAUAUGAGAUCAGAAUGAAACAACAAGGGUACCUCGGAAUCACGCAAAGUUGCGAUCUCAGAGUUCAAUCCAUUGAGUAAGGACAGAGCUCACGGGUCGGUUAUUCCAGUUCGGAAAAAGUAGAACAAAAGCCCAGUUGGUUAAGAGAACUCAGAACUCAAUCCAUUGAGUAAGGACAGAGCCCACAGGUCGGUUAUUCCAGAUCGGAAAAGUAGACCGAAAGAUCAGUCGGCCGAAUAGGUUUUAAUUCAGAUCAACUAAGAAGCAACAGUACAGGGAAUCCUUCAGGGAAAAUCACCAAGCAAAUAGUUUCAAGUACUUCAUUCAGGAUAAAGAAAGAACAGCUCAGAUAUGAAGGGAAAGCAUAAGUCUCAUUACAGUGUGUUACGACUGCUUACAUUACAGACAUAGCAUCCAAAGAAGACAUAUAAUCGAAGAUUUACGUGCCUAAAUACAUCAUCAUCUACGAUUACAUCAUUAUCACCUACUCUACUAGUUUAGUCUUCGAUUCGAAGGAUUUCUCGUAGUACGGAAGACGAGCUCUGUAUAUCGGCUGAGCUCUGCCUCGUUAUUAUAGGAGAACUGAACGAGUUGAUUCCCAUAAGCAUUUCUCACUGUUCUCCUAUAGGCCGGUAGCCUGUUGCCCAAGUGUGAUUCACGAUACAUACGAACGAGCUCGGAUAUUAUAUGCUGUUCGUAUAGCACGCAUAAGUCCUCGGGCCACGGCUUCGGAAAGAUCGCAGAACAUAUAUUCGGAGGUAUCGACGGAAGCUUGACUGAGUGCAGCAGAUCUCAGUCUCUCAUAAUGUAAGUACUCCACACUAAAGGGAAUCAUAAGCUGAUCAUUUUCACCACUUCCAUUUAUAUCAAAAGAAGACAACUGGGGCCUCGAAGAAAUUUCCUUGUUCUUCUCGAAAGAAGGCAAAGUUAGAACAGACCUCUCAGCAGUCCAGAACCUCCUUGGAGCUCGGAUAAUAACUGGUGGAGGAGGCCAGCCAGACGACCCAAGUAAGAUAGUUUCAACGACCUGCCAAGUGGUCCCACCCAUCGACCGCACUACCAGGAAGACCUCCAAAACCACGUUCAGACUCCCUAGAGGUAAUACCAAAUUUCCAGAAGGAUGAAACUGACUCAUUUUCGUUUCAGAUACUGCAAGAAAAGCCUCAAAACAGAGAUAAGCCAAAAUAACCUUUUAUCAAGACAAUGAAAGCAGGAUAGAAGCAAACCUCUAGGGCAACAAAGCAAUAAAACCUCAGGAUCACUUCAAUCUAUUUGAAGAAGGCGUUUGACAGAUCCUCUGCGGAUGUAAAAUUCUCAUCUUGACAGAUAAAUCCGAAAGAAAAAGCUCCCUCGUCCCAACAGGAUACCUGAGAAUCAAGAAGAGGUAACGCUAAUGUAUAUAUCCGAAAGUUUGAAUUUUUGUGCAGGAUAGGCAGUACCAGGCUCCCAGCCCACAACGUCAGGAGCCUUAAAAGCUAUUCAUGGAAAAGGAAAGAAAAAGCAUGUCCAGACGAUAAUGGCAGGAAAGCAAAGAUAGCAGAACACUAAAAAUAAUGGAAAGCCGGAAAGGGAAAAAGGCAGAUCAGAUUCAAAAACUGAAAAGUAGCAACAAGACGAAAGGGUGUUAUAAAGACAGUUGUACACGAACAGGCGCGGUCAUAAUGGUUCUUGAUAUUCACCCCCUCGUCAGUCGGAGCAAUAACUGCCGAGAAGGUGAAGGGGCAAUUGAUGACCUCUGGAUUUUUCUACCUCUACAAAGGGCCUAGUCCACCAUGAAAAGCCCAAAGAGCGAAGGCCCACACACCUGGUAUGCGGAGUAAGCCCGGCUCGUUCAACCUUCGAGGCCGGGCUCGACCAAGUUCCCUCACUCAGAUCGGCCCAGUCCGAGCAAUCUCCUAAGCAAAUCCCUUCCUCUCGGGCCCAUCGUCCAGUCCAACUCUUGGCCCAGCCUAGGAUCAAGAAGGAUAUUCACGGGACAGCCUGGCAGAUCCGCUCAAAUGUACGCACAGGGAGAAUCAGAGGCCGUUACGCAUGGAGCAGGCGCCUGAUACUCUCGUACGCUCGAAUCUGUAUGGCAGAGACGUGUGGCCCACUCAUGAGGAGGCUGUUAUACGUCACCACCAAGCAAGGCGAAAAGAAUAAAAGCGGAGUCCCCUCCCCAGAAAGUUUAAGUUUAAGUUUAUGAUUCAAGACAAAACCCUCUUGUAAAACCCUAUUUUAUUGGAUCUCAGAUCAUCACAACUAAUUCAAUUAAACUAAAUUUGUUAAUGGAAAAUUAUAAAACAUUAUUAAAAAAUAGACAAAAAUGCUAAUUAGAUCUUAUGCUAUGAGUAAAUUUAUUAAUUAAUUUUUAAUUUUAAAAAAUAUAUUAAUUUUUUUGAAAUUUUAAAAUUCUACUAAUUAACCUAUUUGACUAUGUGUUUGUGUGCAGGUGGAAUGGAAUUUUCGCCUUUCAGCUGCUUAUAGUUGGAAGGAGCAUCGGGUUUGCUUUUAAGGGCCAAUACCUCCUGGAGAUAUUUUUGGCACUACUCAUUCUCAGUUCCUAGUCUCUCAGAAGGCAAAAGUGCUUAAGGUGCUCUACUUGCCACUGUGACUAGUAGUUUAUAUACUCACUUUGCACUAAGAAAAUAGGAUAAAAUGCUCCUUUACAAGUUUUCAAAGUACGUCUAACUUGAAAAUUCUAAUUAAGAGAAAAGAAAUCAGGGUCGAUCAUAUCUCAUCCCUUGAAGGUAGAUGAGUAGUAGUUUUUCAUGCAAAAAGCAAAGCAACACUGUCUUGGUUUGCAAUUAAUGGCUUGUAUUGCUUUGUCUAUUGCCAUACAUUUGAGAAUUUUUAGUGUAUAGAUAAUAAUUUCAUAGUAGUAAUUGACUAUAAUGAAUUUCAUGUAGAUCCCACUUUGAUCAAUGGUCCGCAUCUAGACAAAGUUCCUCUUCCUGUUCCUCAUGAUUUAUCCUGCGAAUGUCUUGUUUUUCAAUCUUUGAAGAGAAUUUUCAUCUUCCUUAUCUUCUUCAAUUCUGCUUCUCUUUUUAUCUCUGGAAAGACGAUCCUCUCGAAAUAUAGGAUGCACUCCACACAUUAUUAUAGAAUCGUAAGCACGAUCCACACGAUAUGUUGGCUUGGAUGUGUGCCUGGAAAUGCAGAAUUGAAAGGAAGCUUCAAGGAAACUCUCUUCCAUGUCCAACAGUUCAUUCCAAAGGAACACAUGUUCUGAAUAUAAGGGAUCAGAUACAAAAUCCAGGGUCUCGAAAACGAAAUUUUGACUGCUAUGUCCAGAUUUACCGACGAAGUUAGCUAUGCAACUAAUGUCUAUAAUACGAUCAUGAGAAUAAUUUUUUGGAUCAAAAACAGCACAUAAAGAAAAACCAGUCAAAUUUGCCUGAUCUAGUCUGAAUGAAAGAGAAGAUCCACUUUUGUUCUUAUAUCUCAUCGUUUCAGGCACUUCAGCCCCCGCUAUGUAUAACUUAACAAUCUGUACCAUGGAAAUUAUAAAUUAUGUUAUGAAAUCUAAUAAUAAUAAACAAAAAUUGUACACUCAAGAGGGUUGAUUCUUGUAAGACCAGAGAAAGUAAGGCAUACCUUGCGUUUUAACAGAUGCGUCUUCAAUACAUCCUCCAUUACUUUAUCAUUUACGUUCCUAUCCAAAUUGAUGCAAUUACGAAACUCAAGUCGUUUUUCUUCUUCUUCAUCAUCAUGUUCUAAGAAAAGGGAUGAAGUUGAUGCAGAUUCCAAAGAUGUGCAAUCUGAUGCAUCUAACUCUUCUAAGCAUGACGGAAGCUCUGGUAAACAUUUAAGUCUCUUGCAACCUUUUAAUGAAAGCCACUUCAACUCAGUUAGAUGUUUAAUGCUUGCAGGUGUCGUCUUGAAAUUGUUUCCACCUAAAAGUAAGCCUUCCAAUGACACUAAAAACCAAAGACUCUGGGGAAUUUCUAAUAUACCACAGUCACUUAAAUCAAUUUUCCUUACACAGGACAGACCUGUCAAAGGAGGCAAUAUAAAACCUUCACAUCUCGAACAUGUUAACUUUUCCAAUCUUCUCAAUUGAUUGAUGGAGGAUGGUAAUGUUUUUAUUCCACUUCUAGAUAUAGAGAGGUUCUUCAGCAAUUCUAGAUCCCCCAUGUUCUCUGGCAAUGCUUUGACAUUCAAACAGCCUGAGAUAUAAAGGUGUGUAAGAGAUUUCAAAUUGCAGAUGCUUUGUGGAAUACUAUGCAGUUUUGAGCAGUAUCUGAGAUCAAUUUCUUUUAGACAUUUAGACUCGCCAAUGCUGCUAGGAAUCUCAAUCAAGUUUCUACAUGCUAUCAAAUAUAAAACCUCAAGAUUUGGGGCACUAGACAAGUCUGGAACUUUAGUUAACUCAAAAGAGUAGCUGAGGUCUAAAAAUUUCAAACUUUCAAGAGCCUGUAAUCAAAACGUCAAUAAAAUUAGCAGAAGCUAAUUAACUCUGCACAAUGUAGCUAAAUUUUAUAAAGCAGCAUAAUAACUCUAACCUUCUCUUGAUUCCAGAGUUGGAUGAGGUUGCUCCGUGGCAUGUGAAGUUCUACAAGAUUUCUCGGGCAAAAAUUUAUUGGCAAGGAUUUCAAAGGGUACCCUUCCCAAUGAUGAUAUCUUAGCUCCUUUGGUAGAAAUUCAAGGCCACUAGGUAGAAGCACUCGUCUUGGUCUGGAUGUAGAAACAUUGAAGAAUUUGAGAAAUCUAAGAUUGCACAUGUUCAUGAAAGCUGUGGGACUUAGCUCCAAAUAUCCAUUUCCAGACAUAUCAAGUAAUAUGCCUUCAAUAUUUUCAGUUCCCUAAGAAAAUAACAACAAACAUUAUAGGCACUGCACUUAAUUCUUAAAACUGCAUAUAAAUAAUAUCUAUGUAUAAUUAAGAAUAUGCACAUUAAUUCUUUUGGUCCAUACCUUGUCUCUUGUCAAUACAUGACAAAUAUCCUUAUAUUUCCACAACCUGCUGCGUGUCCCAAGUUGUUUGGACUCCUCACAAACAACAUCCUUGCCCAUUUGUUGUAGCAAGUCAUGCAUGCCUACCUUACCAUUUGAAACAGUUAUGAGAGAUUUAUCAAUUAAACGGCUUAUCGCUCUUCUUGGAAAGAAACCACAACCUUCAAAUAUUCUUUCGACACGAUCUUUAGGCUCGCCUUUAAGGAAACAUGCAAUAUCAAGAAAUAUGAUCUUUUCAUGACGUUCUAGUCCAUCAUAACUUAUUCUCAAAACUGCCUGAAUAUUCAUAUCAGGAAUUUCUUUCAAUUUUUCCAACUCACUUUCCCAUUCUUCAAUCCCCUUAUUAUACAAAUUAGAGCCUAAAAUUACAAGAGCCAAUGGAAUACCUUGAGCAUAUGUUAUCAACUUCUUUGAUAUUUCCACAUAUCCUUUCUUGGGAUGAUUUUGUUUGAAGGUAUACAAGCUAAAGAGACAAAGAGCUUCAUCAUCAGUUAAUUUUUCAACCUUGUAUUUGUAUCCCUCCGAACAAACAUUUUUAAGUACUUGUCUAUCUCUGCUUGUUACAAUGAUUCUACUACCAUUGUGGUACAAAGCACACUCUCCUGCUAAAAGCUUUAGAUGGUUUGGAUCAUCCACGUCAUCAAAAACAAUGACAACCUUUUUACUCUGAAGUCUUCUCCUAAUGAAAGGGGGUAGCCGAGGUGUGCUUACAUUUAAAUUCUUUUCUCCUAACAAUUGGUUAAUGAUUUUAUCUAAUAAAACAACAGGUGUUUGUUUUCUCACCUCCUCUCUGACAUUAACAACAAAACAGUGUCCAUCAAAUUUAUCCAUAAUUCGAUUAAAUACUUCACCAGCAAUAGUUGUCUUGCCAAUACCUCCCAUCCCCCAAAUUCCUAUUACUCUUCUAUCAUUUAUUGAUUCAAUACAUAACAAGGAUUCCACUUUCUUCAGACGUGAUUCAAUCCCAACUAAGUUGUCAUUGUAAGAAUCACUUGAGGAGAUGAGACUUAAUUUCUCCCAAACAUCAUUGGCAAUUUCCUCAACUAGUUUGGAUUCAGACCUAAUACAUAUGAAGAACAAAUGCUAGUAAGUCAAAGCAAACCACCCUUAGAGGCUUAGACUCGCUUCUAAGUAAAUUGAUAAUAUACGAUUACAUAUACAUGCAAACAAAAACAAGAAUAGUAAAAAAAUCAACAGAAUUACUUGAUUUUCCGUGAAUCCCAUCCUGAUAAAUUGCUUAUUGCCGUCAGAGCACGACGCCACUUAUCCACCUUGUCUAAACAACCUUUGACUUCUUCUCCAUGCUUAGCAACCGCAAAUGCCUCGCCGAAAUCCCCAAUGAGAUCUUGAACAUCAGUUGGAUCUACAUUGUAAAAAAUUGGUAGGACUAAUCCUUCUAAAUUUCCCUUGCAUUCAAGUAUCUUCACAAGCUCAUCCAAGCACCAUGGAGAAUCUGCAUAAUUUUGAGAGAAAACAACAAUUGAGACAUAAGAAUCUUUAAUUGUUUCCAAGAGAGCAGGUGAGAUCUCUUCUCCUUUACGAAGGUCUUCAUCCAUGAAAAGAUUGAUUUGUUUUCGCUGCAAAGCAUCAAAGAGAUGGGAGAGAAAACCCACACGAAUAUCUUUGCCUCUAAAGCUAAUAAAAACAUCAUAUUUGCAAGGAGGGGUUGAAGAAGUAGCAUCCAUAGAUGAGUGAUGAAAGAAUGCUUGUGUAACUCCAACUGAGCUUGAAGAAGUUAAAGAGAGCAAGUGCCGUGCUAGACAAGCCAACAGGACUCUUCCUGGAAAAUGAUAUCUAAAUUGAAGUCGUCACCUAAUCGUCCGUAGAAACUUCAAGGAAAGAAACCCAAAACUUGCUAUCUAGGCAUGUUGCUAUCUGACACUCUUCUUCUCCUUUUCGCCUCAACUUUGCCUUGUCCACAAUCAGCCGGCUUCAGUUUCUCUACCACAAAUUUACAUUUUUUUACAUACAUUGAGUCUAUGAUUUCCAAUAAUAUCAGCCAUGUUAGUUUGACUAGCAAGAAGUGCUGUUGAAGAAUAAUAAUUUUUUUAUUUUAAUUUAUCUUUUAAUCUUUCUAUAUCAUUAAAUAAUAAAUUAUUAUGAAAAAUUAUAUAAUCAUUUUGGAAAUUUGUGAGAUAAUUUAUGAUAAUAUUUAUUUUAAUAUUUUUAAAAAUUAUUAUAUGUAAUUUUUGUGUACAAAAAGAUUUUAUAUGUUCGUGAAAAAUAAGAGAGAUAAUUUGAAUUUUUUUCGUAUGUGAUUUUCUAAUGGACUUGUGAAGUGAAUUUUUUUUUGUGUGAGAGAAUUUUUGAUUUUUGAGUCUUAAAAAUAGAGCAGUUUAAUAAUAAUUUGAUGAGAAUGGGUCCUCCAUUUUUUAAUGGAGAAAAUUAUCAUAUUUGAAUAAUUAAAAUGAAAUCUUAUUUAGAGUUUGUGGGAUGUUGUUAAAACCGAGCAGAUUCACUUAAUCUUAGUCCUGAUCCAACUCUAAAACAAAUCAAGAAUGAUGAAGAAUUAAUAAAGAAAAAGCUGAGAGUUUUAAUUUGUUUGCAUCUUAGUUUGAUGGAUAUGAUUUUUAUUAGAAUUAUGAAUUGUGAAAUUCUAAAGGAAGUAUGGAAUAAGUCCAAAGAGAAGUUUGAAGGGAGCGAUAGAGCAAAGACCGUUGACUUCUCACACUAAAAAGGCAACAUGAGAGAGAAAAAAGUAAGAAAAAAUAACUUAACGGAACAAUAUUGUUUCAUUCUAUUAUGUCGUUUGUUAUUGUUAACACUGUGCCAUUUUUCCUUGAGUAUAAUAUUUCACAAGCCUUCUGCAGAAGCCAAGUGAAGAGGCAAGCAGCAAAGAGAGUCUAACUCCUCGGCUAGUUUGGGCUUCCGCUUGAGGAGUGCUUGUGCAAAUUGAAGGUGACCUCGCAUGGCUGCAAUGUGCAAGGGAGUUUCAUGACAGGAAGUAAUGGUGACCCUAUCAAGAAUGAGUUGAUCUUGUUGAAGCAAUGCAUCUAAUUCAGCUACAUCCCCUUUCAGUGAUGAUUGAUAAAUGAUAAGCUGAUCAUGCUCGAUUGAGGGGUUGAGGUUCUCUAUAGACAUCCUAUGCAAAAGGGGGUGGUAAUAGGGUUCUGGUUAGAGGAUGCUUGCUUUUUAAGGAGAAUAAAGACGACAGUAAUAUAUAUAAAUGAUUUUACAAUAAAGCUGAUGACCAAUUUACGUGGUUAGAAUUGAUUUUGGCCAAUAUUUGGCACCUGUUAUUACCAGAAAUGCCUGGUAAUAUCUUGAAGUUUCAAGACAUCUCAUGACAUGUUAGAACUUUGAAGACAUCCUUAACAUCCUUAUUUCAUUAUCAUUAGUCAUUAUUAAUUCUUCAUCUAUAGCUGAAAGGAAGUAAAACGUGUUUAGGGGUGACAUCAAAGUGAAAUUACAAUAAAGGUCGUCACUAAGAAACACCUUUAUAACAAAAUAUAUAGAGAAUUACUUUUAAUUUUGUAAAAAAGUAAUUAAUUCAUUUUUAUUUUAAAAUCACUCGAUUAAAUAUUUUUAUUUCAACGAGAUAAUUUAUUUUUAAUUAUUCAGUUUUAAUUUAAAAAAUAAAAUUUAUUAAUAAAUUUAUAUGUAAAAUUUUAAUUUCAUUAUUUUUUAAAUUAUAAUUAAAGAAUGCAAAAUUAUAAUUAACUAAAAUUCUUUCUAUCAUAUUGUCGUAUGAUAUUUUACACACAAAUUAACUUAUUUAUUUAUAUUGUUUUUACUAUAUAUUUAUUCUAUUUUUAUUUUUUAACUGUCAUUAUUUUUAUUAUUAUUUUAAUUUUUAUAUUUAAAUAAUAUUUUUUUCGUUAAUAAUUUUUACCAAAAUUUAUGAUUAUAUUAUUUAUUUUUACUAAAGAUAUAAAUAAUUCUUCUUAUUUACUGCAGUAAGCACACGUAUAUUUGUUUCAUAAAUAAUUUGCAUAAAUAUAUUAAAAAUAUAAUAUGAGAAAUAUAAACAGGAAAAGUUUUAUAAAUUCUAGGGAGAUUUACAAUUUAGUUCAUGUGUAUUGUCAUUAUUAACAAGUCAGUUUCUGCAUUUUCAGAAACUUAUUAAAACGUCCUUACAUAAUCAAACCAUUAACAAAUCAGUCCUUCCAUCCACUGUUAUCCUUUUUUCCGUUAAAAAUAAAAUGAAAAGACCAAAAUAACCUUAGUGUAACUUUUCCCUAAAUCGAUAAUCUCUCUCCUCUAAUCCCUAACCUCUCUCUUCUCCCAAAAAUGAAAACCUCUCUUCUCAAAUCCCUAAUUUCUCUCUUCUUCCCUAAUCGAUAACCUCUCUCUUCCUAAAUCCCUAACUUUCUGUCUUCUCCCAAGUCGAUAACUUCUCUUCUCAAAUCUCUAACUUCUCUCUUCUUCCCUAAAUCCUCUAUUCUCCAUUUUGUUGGUUUUUGUCGAAGAGAAAUUAGUUUCUGUCGAAGUGAAGUUGUGGUCCCGAUUUUGUUGGUUUCUGUCGAACAAGUGGGGAAAGAUAACUUUUUGUGCUUUCUUUUGUUUGUUUUCUAUGGAUGUGUGACCAUAAAGUUUGUAUUAUAGUAAAGCAUGUGGGUACCACUUACUGUUACUGAUAGUUUUAGUGUAUUUUUUUUUUGGAGAUUUUAUAUAAUUAAAGAAUGUAUGAUUUAUAUGUGCAGGUCUGAAGACAUGACUGUGGAAGAGAGAUUUACUGUGGUGUUGAUAUAUGAAAAUAAAACUGAUUCCAUAUAUAAUGUCCCCAUUGGAAGGUAUUUGUACAUAUCCUUGUUGUCUGAUGUUUAUAAGAUGUUUAACAUAGCUGCAUCAUUUGUUACGUUUGUUGUUGGUAAUGGGAUGAGUGUAGAAAAUGAUGAUGAUUUAAUGUUGGCUUUUGAGUUGUACAAACCUAGUCAUAGAUUGCCUUUGACUGUACAAGUAAAAGGGGUCCCUCUUAACACUAAGAUGCCUGAUGAUGACGAUGAUGAUGAUGAUGUUAGUAUUAUUGGUGAGGGCAGUAAUACUGGUGAGGGCAUUAACCUUAGUGAGGGUGGUAAUAUUAAUUGUUGAGGAUAUUAACCUUGAUGAUGCCUUAGGUAGAAACACUCCCCCAUUAAGUAGGGAUGGGUCCACAAGAGGUAGGGGUAGGAGUGUGCCAUUAAGAGGAAAGGGAGGAAGAAGCAGUUUUACUAGAGGUAGAGGAAUAAGACAGGAAAGGGUUAGUGAAAGUGGGCAGUUAGGGGAAGAGGCCAAUGAAUCACCACAAAGUGAUUCUGAAAGUGAUGUAUCAUUCAAUGACAGUGAGGUUGGAGAUGAUUUACCUGAAGAAGUUGUAUUUGACAAUGAAAUUAGUAUUGAAGAGUCAAAUGGGUUAUCAGAUUAUGCUAGUGACAAUGACAAAGAGAUUGAAGAUAGUGAGAAUGAGUCUUAUGAUCCAAAUAAGAGGAAGAAAAAAUAUAUUGAUCCUUAUCAUGGCAUGUAUAAUGAUCCCUUCCAACACAAUGAAGGAGAAGGGAUUUUGUUUAAAGAGGGCCAAGUUUUUAAUGACAUUGCAACUUUGAGGAAUGCGAUGAGAGAUUAUGCUAUUAAGGGGGGAUAUGAUAUUACAAGAGUUAAAAAUGACUCUACUAGAUUAACAGCUAAGAGUUCCAGUACAGGAUGUCCCUAGAGGUUUCAUGCAUCAGUUCUGUCUGACCAAGUCACUUUCAUGGUUAAGACUCUGCAUGAUGAGCACACAUGCAUAAGACCAUUAAGAAAUGAAAAUUUGAAUUCAAACACUAAGUGGAUAGUAGAAAAACUAAGGGGAAAACUGAGGGUAGACCCUGACAUGAGUUAUGAACUCAUGCAGUAUGAGUUUAUGGAAAAAUGGAGUGUGGAAGUUCCUGUGUGGCAAUUAUAUAGAGCCAGGUGCAAGGCUAGAGAUGAGAAUAUAGGCAUGCAUUGUGAAAGUUUCAAAAAACUUAAGAAAUAUGUCCAUUAUUUGCAAACAUAUAACCCAGGUAUAGUUGUAAAAAUUCAGCCACCUCCAAGGGUUAAUGAAGAUGAUCCUUUUGUUUUUCAAAGAAUAUGGAUUAUGUUUGAUGUUAUAAAGUUUGGAUUUGAGAAUGGUUGCAGACCCUUUAUAGGAUUAGAUGGUUGUCACUUGAAGGGUCCAUAUGGAGGGAUUUUCCUAGUUGCAGUCAUACUGGAUGGAAAUAGAGGUGUGCUACCUCUUGCAUUUUCUAUAGUUGAAGCAGAAUGUAGUGAUAGCUGGACUUUUUUCCUAGAGAAUCUUUAUUCUUGCAUUGGUGGAGGAACUGAUGAUAGGCCUUUAACUAUUAUGUCAGAUAAGCAAAAGGUAUGAAUUAAUAUUCACUUUUUUUUUAAUUUAGCAUAUUGAAUUAUAUGCUAUUAAUUUAAGUUACUAACUAUUUUUUUGGUUGUAGGGACUCGUUGAUGCUGUCAAAAAUAUAUUUCCCAAUGCAUCUCAUAGAGUUUGUUGCAGGCAUUUAUACAUGAAUUUCAAGAAAGAGUUCCCUGGACUCAUGCUCAGAGAUGAUUUUUGGAAUGCUGCAAAGAGUACUCAUUCUUAUGAGUUUUGGCUUCACAUGAAGAAUUUGAAUCCCAAGCGAGAUCAAAAGCCAUAUCACUGGUUGAUCAACAUACCCUUCAGUCAAUGGAAUAGACAUGCAUUCUGGCCUGAAGCUAAGUGUGACAAUUACACUAACAACAUGACCGAAUCAUUCAAUGCAUGGAUAGUGAAAUUGAGAGGUUUGCCUAUUAUCAAUAUUAUUGAAUCAAUUAGGCAGAAACGUAUGGUUAGGUUGCAUAAAAGAUUUGUUAAAGCUCGACCAUGAGAAGAGAUAGUUACACCAAUAAUAAAGAAAGUAUUGAAUAAAAUCAUUACUGCCAAUAGGUUUCUUAAGUUGCUCCCUGGUAGAAAUGAAGAGUAUGAGGUUCAUGAGGGUCCAUGUAGGUUUGCUAUAAGUUUAGCUAAAAGGACAUGCAGUUGUGAAUGAUGGGAUAUAAGUGGUUUACCAUGCAAGCAUUCUGCCAGAGCAAUUGCAUAUGUUAGGGGUAAUAUUGAAGAGUUUUGCCAUGAAUAUUACACUGUGCAGUGCUAUUCAAGAGUUUAUGCAGGUGCCAUAAAUCCUAUUCUUCAAACUGAGCUUGAAUCUGAUAAUGAACACCCAUCAAUGUUGCCACCUCCUUUGAGGAGGCGACCAGGAAGGCCAAGAAAGGCUAGAAAGAGAGAUGAGAGUGAACCACCAGCAAGAGGAAGGAAGACAUCAAUUGUCACUUGUGUUAGGCGCUUACGAACAGGCCACAAUAAGAGAACUUGCCAAUAUAUUGCUGUUGGGGUGACUAUACAUUUGUUUGCUUGCAUAUAAUGAAUCUAUUUUAACCUUUUUAACCUUUUUAUGUAUUUUUCUAAUUGCAGGCAUGGCUGCAAGUCAAAAGAAGAGGAAACACACUACUGCAUUAGGUACAGGGACUUCAAGAGUGGUUAAUACUAAUCAAGUGGGAUCAAGUGGUGGACCAAUAACCUAAAGGAGCCUUUGAAAUAUAAAAUUAUCUUUUUGAGAAUUUUGUUAGUUGAUGGGAUAUGAUUUAUACAUUUUGGAAAAACAUGUUUUUUGGGACAUUGGAUUGUAAAUCUGAGAAUAUUGUAAAUCUGUGCACAGAUUCUUUUUUAGGGGAGUUUAUCAUAGAUAUUGGUAUAAUGUUACAGAUAUUGGCCUUACUUGACCAUUAAAAUGGCAGUAAUAGAUGUAUGACAUUGUAAUGAUCAAGUCUGAUUUUGUAAUACAUAUUUAAACAAAAAGGAUAUAUUAAUGAAGUUAUGCUUUUAAUUUCAUUUGCUCAGCUCCAAUUUUAUUCAUUGUGCAUUUAUAAGAUUUGUUUGUACUUGAUAUUAAGUUACAGUUGGAUAAAUGUAACAGUAUCACUCUUCUAUUACUUUUAAUUUUACAACUUUUUAGUUCAUCUAUUUAAAUAUUCAAAAUUUCUCAGUCCUUUAAGUUUUAAAAUUUACAAUUUUUUAGUCCUUAUAUAUUAAAUUUAGAAACUAUUACGUCCUCCAGUUUUGAAUCAUUACAACUGUUUGGUCCUUCAUUUUAACCAUUCACUUACAAGAAACUAAUAUGCUAAAAUUCCAAUCAUCCAACUUAGAAAAACAAUACAAAAUUCAUUUAUACAUAAAGAACAUACUACAAUCUGGUUGAAAAUAACUUCUAACUUCUGCAACUUUAUAUAUUGCAUCUAAACAACUUUUUAAAGUGUUUUUACAGCAAACACUAUCAAGAGUAACAACAUAAUUAUCAUACAAUUCUUCAUCUGGUUCAAAAUAGCUUCAAUUUUCUGCAGCUUUACAUAUAAUUUUUUUGUCUCUUCAUUAAUCUUCAUCAACUCUUCUUUAGUCUCUGCAAUCGUCCUUGAUAAGUUGGCUUUGAAUAUCUCUAACCCUUCACCUAUACUGUUUGAUGUUGGAGAGUUCACAUUUAUUGGAAUGCACCACCCAAGAAAUGACACACAUUUGUUAUCUCGACAGUAAUAAUACAACUUAUUUGGAUUACUAAUAGAUUCAGAUAUGCGAACCCCCGCUCUUUUUCCACAACAACAAUUCACAUUCAUGUAACCACCAUCCCAGCUUCCCAUCAAUUCGUUGAUGCCAGAUAUUCUUGUGAAGAUAGAAUGAAUCCUUUAGGUGCUUGAUCGUCGGCUAUUAGGAACGGAGGUAGAAUCCUUUCAGUGCUUGGUCGAUGUUGAAGGUAGUCCCUCACAGAGAGUGUGCUGAAGCUCGUCGAGGGUGAGAGAGUAAAUGGAGGAUUGCCUACCGAGAGAUGACGAGAGGUUGCUUUUAAGGUUGUGAUCGGACUGUUAUGGCAAAUCUAACCAUACAUUUCUACCUAAUAGGGAUUGAAAAGGGUAAAAUUGGAUUUUUAAAAUAUUCUCUCUCAUUUUCAUCUUAUUUUUAAUGGAAAAUAUGGUAACAGUGGAUGAAAGGACUGAUUUGUUAAUGGUUUGAUUAUGUAAGGACGUUUUAGUAGGUUUCUGAAAAUAUAGGGACUAACUUAUUAAUAAUGGUAAUAUCCAAAGACUAAAUUGUAAAUCUUUCUAAAUUCUAUUAAGUAAAAAAUAUUAAUUUUAAAUAAUUUAGAUCAACAUUAGUUCGAUGGGCUAUAAUUAAAAUAAUAUUUUAAAAUUUAAACACUAAAAAGUGUUAAAAAGAUUUUUUUUAUAAAAAUUAAAUUAUUUUUAAAGAAAAAUAAUUUAUUUUUUCAAAAGAUAAUUUAUUUUUAGAUUUUGAGAAUUUUUUAACACUAUUAUAUAUAAUUUUAUAAGUAUUUUUAUUUUUUAAAUGAUAAUUACAGAAUACAUAAUAAAUUCGACGUGAGUUUUUCUCUGUGAUCUUUUUGUAACUCGAUAUUCUCGCAUUUUCCUCUUCUUAAACCUAACUUCUUUCUCAUUUCCCAUAAAAGACAAUAUGUGUUGAUUGACUAUCACUGAAGAAGAAAAUAUUAUUAUCUUAUGUAGGGAUUUAAACAGACAUUUGAAAAAUAUUUUUAUCAAAUUAUUUCAUACAGGGAUUUGAUUUUGAAUGAUUGUAAAUAUUUGUUAGAUUACUGCUCAUAUUUUGGCUAAAAAAUCUAUUAGAUAUAAUAAUUUUUUUAUUUAGGAUGAUAUCUCUAUUUAUUUGAUGAAAUCUCGUUAAUACAAUUAGUAAUUUUAUUUUUAAAAAAAAAAACACAUAAUAAAUUAUUUUUUAAAAAAAUUAUUAAAAAUAAUUUUCAUAUUUAAAUUAUUUUCUGUGGUGUAAAUAAAUCUAUUUGAACCGAAUAAAAGUUAAUUAAAAUUUUAAAUGGCAGAUAUAAUGAUUGAUUGGACAGAUCAUUAAAGCAAUGGUAAAGGCAUUUUAUUAAAUUGGAAUUAAUUUAAAAAAAAUCUUUUUCGUAAGCAUAUGAAUAGAUUAAUUUACAUAUUUUAAAUGUUGGAUCAGUUUUUUUUAACGGCAAAAAAUUCGUAUUUUCAAAAUUAAUAAAGUAGCAAAAUUAUAAAAAAAAUUAUAAAUUAUAUAAAUUUUAAAAAAAUAAAUUCAAACGACACAAUUUAAUUAUAAUAUUUAUUUAAAUUCAUAAUAUUUCAAACAUAAUAAUAUUGCUAACAAAUAAAUUUCUUGAUUUUUCAAUCCCUCCACAAGUCAUAAUAUUUUUUAAAAAAACAAUCAUAAAUUUUUUUCCCUUUUAAUAAUUUUAUCCUAAUUUUUUUUCAUAAUAAAUUUAUUAUAAAUUAUGCUCACAUACUUAAUUUAAAAGUUAAUGCUAACUAGAAUUUAAUUUAAGUCUAAGAUUUCUUUAGAUGUGAAAAUAAUUUAUAUUUAACAUUAUUUUAAUAAAAUAACUCAUUUUUAAUUUUUUAAUUUUUUAAUUUAAAAAUAAAAUAUUUUAAUAAAUUUAUAUAUAUAUUAAAAAAGUCUUUUUUUUCCUGAAAUAAUUUUUUUUAUAAAAAAUAUUUUUUAUUAAUUAAUUUUUAAAAAAUAUUUUAAAUAUAAAAAUAAUUUUAAUAAAACAAUCGAAACCUAAAUAAUGAAUAAGGGUUGAUGUGACACUAGAGCGAUGUUUAAGAAAAGUAAUUAACAGUAUAGCAUACAAUUAAUUCAAUUAAACUAAAUUUGUUAAUGGAAAAUUAGAAAACAUUAUUAAAAAAUACACAAAAAUACUAAUUCAGCGUCGAUCAUAUCUCAUCCCUUGAAGGUAUCAUGAGUAGGAGUUUUUCAUGCAAAAAGCAAAGCAAAACUGUCUUGGUUUGCAAUUAUUGGCUUGUAUUGCUUUGUCAAUUGCCAUGCAUUUGAGAAUUUUUACAAAGCAACCGCUGUAUAGUUAACCCCAAUUUAUUGCUUCUUCUGUGCCAAUGGUCAAUAUAAAGACGAAGUUCCUGAUGAUUCAUCCUGCGAAUGCGAAGGUUCUCGGUCUUGUUUUUCAAUCUUUGAAGAGAAGGUUCAUCUUCCUUAUCUUCUUCAAUUCUGCUUCUCUUUUUAUCUCUGGAAAGACGAUCCUCUCGAAAUAUAGGAUGCACUCCACACAUUAUUAUAGAAUCGUAAUCACGAUCCACAUGAUAUUUUGGCUCGUACGAGUGCCUGGAAACGCAGAAUUGAAAGGAAGCUUCAAGGAAACUCUCUUCCAUGUCCAACAGUUUAUUCCAAAGGAACACAUGUUCUGAAUAUAAGGGAUCAAGUACAAAAUUCAGGGCCUCGAAAAUGAAAUUUUCACUGCUAUGUCCAGAUUUUCCGACGAAGUUAGCUAUGCAGCUAAUGUCUAUAAUAUGAUCAUGAGAAAAAACUUUUGGAUCAAAAACAGCACAUAAAGAAAAACCAGUCAAAUUUGCCUGAUCUAGUCUGAAUGAAAGAGAAGAUCCACUUUUGUUCUUAUAUCUCAUCGUUUCAGGCACUUCAACCCCCGGUAUGCAUAACUCAACAAUCUGUACCAUGGAAAUUAUAAAUUUUUUAAGAAAACUAAUAAUAAUAAACAAAAAUUGUACACUCAAAAGGGUUGAUUCUUGUAAGACCAGAGAAAGUAAGGCAUACCUUGUGUUUUAACAGAUGCGUAUUCAAUACAUCCUCCAUUACUUUAUCAUGCACGUUCUUAUCCAAAUUGAUGCAAUUAUGAAACUUAAGUCGUUUUGCUUCUUUUUCAUCAUCAUGUUCUAAGAAAAGGAAUGAAGUUGAUGCAGAUUCCAAAGAUGUGCAAUCUGAUGCAUCUAAAUCUUCUAAGCAUGACGGAAGCUCUGGUAAACAUUUAAGUCUCUUGCAACCUUUUAAUAAAAGCCCCCUCAACUCAGUUAGAUGUUUAAUGCUUGCAGGUGUCGCCUUGAAAUUGUUUCCACCUAAAAAUAAGUCUUCCAAUGACGUUAAAAACCAAACACUCCCACAGUCACUUAAAUCAAUUUCCCUCACACAGGACAGUCCUGUCAAAGGAGGCAAUGUCAAACCUUCACAUCUCGCACAUCUUAACUCUUCCAAUCUUCUCAAUUGAUUGAUGGAGGAUGGUAAUGUUUUUAUUCCACUUCCAGAUAUAUAAAGUUUCUUCAGCAAUUCUAGAUCCCCCAUGUUCUCUGGCAAUGCUUUGACAUUCAAACAGCCUGAGAUAUAAAGGUGUGUAAGAGAUUUCAAAUUGCAGAUGCUUUGUGGAAUACUAUGCAGUUUUGAGCAGUAUUCGAGAUCAAUUUCUUUUAGACAUUUAGACUCGCCAACGCUGCUAGGAAUCUCAAUCAAGUUGCUACAUCCUCUCAAACAUAAAACCUCAAGAUUCGGGGCACUUGACAAGUCUGGAACUUUAGUUAACUCAAAAGAGUAGCUGAGGUCUAAAAAUUUCAAACUUUCAAGAGCCUGUAAUCAAAACGUCAAUAAAAUUAGCAGAAGCUAAUUAACUUUGCACAAUGUAGCUAAAUUUUAUAAAGCAGCAUAAUAACUCUAACCUUCUCUUGAUUCCAGAGUUGGAUGAGGUUGCUGUCUGGCAUGCGAAGUUCUACAAGAUUUCUCGGGCAAAAAUUUAUUGGCAAGGAUUUCAAAGGGUAGUCUUCCCAAUGAUAAUAUCUUAGCUCCUCUGGUAGAAAUUCAAGGCCACUAGGUAGAAGCACUCGUCCUGGUCCGGAUGUAGAAACAUUGAAGAAUUUGAGGAAUCUAAGAUUGCACAUGUUCAUGAAAGCUGUGGGACUUAGCUCCAAAUAUCCAUUUCCAGACAUAUCAAGUAAUAUGCCUUCAAUAUUUUCAGUUCCCUAAGAAAAUAACAACAAACAUUAUAGGCACUGAACUUAAUUCUUAAAACUGCAUAUAAAUAAUAUGUAUGUAUAAUUAAGAAUAUGCACAUUAAUUCUUUUGGUC